rnacentral:lncRNA from 1 species
CUUCCGAAGGCCAUAUCUUCCUCGUUUCAGCUCCAAAUCGUACACGGUUUGAAGCGUUGGAUUCUUGACUUCCUGAGCUUUGAAAUGGUAUAUAGCAUGUAAACGGGAAGUGCUCCAAAAGUUCCAAAGAAGACUGCAGCUGCUGUCCUCUGUUUUCCUCUUUGCUUCUCUUUGCUUCUCUUUGGUUUUCUUUGCUUUUCUCCUUUGGAUGGCUUGUCUUAAUGAUCUAAAAAGACGUCAAAAACACUAAAACUAGCCACAAAUAUGAUUAGGAGUCAUUGCUAGGUCCUUAACAUGCCAAUUGGAAUAAAGAUGAAGAAUUACUACACAAAAGUGCUUAAAACAUAAUGACUUAAAGGUGUAAAAUAACACUUUUUGGGUAGUAAUCAGAGGAUCAUGUGGAGACGAUGACUCUGAUGUGGUCUCCUGAGUGCUCUGGAUCGGAGUCUUGAUCUCUACUGUAGUAGUCUCCUCAUGAGGCAUAGUCUGCUCUGCUGGAGUAGCCUCCUCAAAUGGAGUUGUAGGCUCUGAUGGGCCAGGCAUAUCAUGCUUAGGUGGUGGUAGAAUACCCAAAUGCUUUUGUAUUUGACUAAUGAUGGUAGUAUGAUGGGUUUGCAUGGCAAUAAGCUGAUCUUGAUGUGCAUGUAUGACUGCCAUCUACUAGAAGAGAGCACCUUGAGUGGUACUAAAUGUCUACAAUGUAUGGCAUAGGCCUCUAAAUUCUGAACUGGAUAUGGUGAUAGAGGACUCAGAUGGAGGAGGUGCUAAUGUAGCUGGUACAACUGGUGGAGCUUCAGGAGUGGUAGGAGGAGCAGAAGAUGUAGCCUCAGUCAUGGGCACUAUAGGAGGUGCUGCAAGGGUAGGUGGUAUGAUCUCUAUAAGUAUCUCAAACUGUUGUGCCUGUGGUGGUUGCUCAUCCUAUGGUGACUAUGGAGGUGCUGGCAUAUAUGGGGCUCUUGGAGGUGCAACAUAGGUCGUUAAAUGAUUCCAUUUGUCGAGAGUGAAUAGCUCUCGGCAAAUGCAGUGGCGCUCAAACUGAGGCUCAGAAGGAUAGCCCAAAUGCUCUAAUAUCUGAUAGAGCAACCUGGGAAAAAGUAAUGGAAUGGCAUCUGCUAUCUCGAGCUUCUUCCUGUGGACCUUCUCUUAAAAGUAGAGAAGAAAGGUCAUAAUCAAAUGAUGAGGGCCAAAGUAAAAACCCCCUGAUAUCCGGAAUAAAGCCUCCAAUAUAGCUCAUUUCCUCUACACCAUAUGCUGAAGUGGAAAUAUGUUAGAGCGUAGCACCUUAUCCAGAAGAAGCAUCCUAGGUGGAAGCUCCUUCCUAAGAAGGAAUGAACGUGUAGAGGUCCCCCUGGACAAUAUAUGGACAUUGUCCCUCUUAGAAAACUGGGGCCACUCUCUAAAAUCUGCUGGACUCGCUGGCUCAUAUGGAAUAUGCAGUGCCUCUACAAUGUGUCUAGCUCCAAAGAUACAAUGGCGUCCAUCAAUAGUGAAGUGGAUGACAGUAGGAUCCUGGACGCGAUGAGUAGUCAUAGACUGAUAGAAGUCUAGUGCUACUCUAGGAUAGAAGAAGUCUCUAGGAGUCAUCGGGUGCUCCAAAUGGUAUCUCUGUAGUAGGCGGAAUGAAUCUCUAAGCUCCGGCUGCUCUCUAAAAGUCUCCAUAUAAAAGCAUAGCUCAGAGUGGAAUGGCCUGGCUCGGUAAUCCAAAUUUCCCUCAAUAGGUGGUUGUGUAACCAUAGGCCGCCUGAUAAUUGCUUUUGGAGUCAUCCUAGAAGGAAUUUGAGACUCUAUAGCAAGCGACUGAGGCUAUGGAGGUGUAGAUGACCCUCCUGGGCCUGAAACUUUGGCUUUCUUUGUAGGAGGGCGACGAACUGAUCUCUUAGGGCGUGAAAUGCUUGCCCCAGGUGUAGUGGGUGGUCUCCUCAUCUCAUACUUGCGCUGAGGAGGGCUAGAUGGCACUCCACCCUCAGAAGGUCGAAUGGUAGAGGCCUGUGGAGCCUUAGAUGUGGAAUCCCGCGCAAGUGAAACUCUUGGCCUUGGAUUGCGAGUUGAUGGAGACGCGGCAUAGGCUCCUCUUGUCUUGGCCAUGGCUGAAAUGGAGAGGAAUUGCUUGGCUUGUGUUCCAUAGGGUGCGUGUUGGGUGUGCGAAGGUGCUUCAUUUUCAAACACACGACCUCAGGGCUUCCAUUGGAGGAGAUGCUCUAGAAUUUGGGGCUUCACAACUUGAUAGGGUUUUUUUCACAACUUGGAAUGGCUGUGCAAAAUGAAAAUGGAAGAAACCGGAGGUUUAAAUAUGAAUUUAAACGACGGUUGGCAUUUUCGCAAGUUCCUUGAAAUUCGCAAGUUGGUUUGCAAGUUGCCCCAUUUCUCAACUUGACUCACAAGUUGAUUCGUAGGCUGCGAAAAUUGAAAAUGAACUUGUGAAAUGGCACACGUGUGCCUCGAGGUGCUUUUGCAGGCUGCAAAAAUUUUCUCAAGUUGAUUAAUGGACUUGCAAAUUUGAGCUCUGAGGAUUUUACAAGUUGGCCCCCAUUUUCGCAAGUUGGAAUUUCACAACUUGCGAACUUUUAGCAAGUUGAAAUAUUGCUUUAUUUUUUAGGCUUUUUUCUCCUUCUUUGGUUCUUUAAGGCUUUUCUCCAAUUCCUUUGAAGUUCCUCAUAAUUUUGAUCAUCCAAAAAAUCUAGGUUAGAUCAAAAUAAAAUAAAUUAAAGCUAGAAUUAAAAUUAAAACAAAUAAUAAAGUUUUUAAAUCAACAAAAUUGAAACAAAAAAAAACAUGGACUUUGGUUAGUCUUCAGAAAGACUAAGUCCCCCUUUUUGGUUAGGAUUGUUGUGGCUCAAGGAGACUGACUUCCCUCGUGUCUUCAUUGAAAGGCUCCAUGAAUGGCAUGACACGGUGGCCAUUGACUUUGAAAGUGUCUGUGCUGUUGGAAUUUAGUAGUUCCACUACUCCAUUGGAAUGCACUUAGUGAAUAAUGAAAGGGCCUAUCCACCUUGAUUUUAGCUUUCGUGGAAAGAUGUGGAGCCUAGAGUCAUAGAGUAAUACUCUUUGUCCCUUUUAAAAUUCUUUGUUAGAGAUUAAUUGAUCAUGGCACCUCUUUAUCCUCUGUUUUCCAAUUUUGGAAUUGAUGUAGGCAUCAUUUCUCAAUUCCUCCAUCUCAUUAAGGUCUAAGCACCUCUUCAUCCUAGCUCUGUUCAAGUCCAUGUUUACCUUCUUAAUUGCCCACCAAGCCUUGUAUUCAACUUCCAUAAGGAGAUGGCAUGCUUUACCAUAGACUAGGCGAUAAGGAGACAUGCUAAGAAUAGUCUUAUAAGUUGUUCUGUAUGCCCAUAGUGAAUCAUGGAGCUUAACAGACCAAUCUCUUCUGCUCAUGUUCACCACCUUCAUUAAUAUAUUCUUGAUUUCCCUGUUUUCCUACUCAACUUGCCUAGAAGUCUAAGGGUGGUAAGGUGUAGCUACCUUGUGCUUCACCCCAUACUUGGCUAAGAGAGUUUCAAAAGGCUUGUUGCAAAAAUGAGUACCUUCAUCACUAAUUAUGGCCUUAGGCACCCCAAAUCUUGGGAAGAUGUUCUCUUUGAGAAACUUGAGAACAAGUUUGUAGUCAUUGUGUUUACACGGGAUUACCUCAACCCAUUUAGAAACAUAGUCUACCACCACCAAAAUGUAAGAGUUACCAAAAGACAUAAGGAAAGGUCCCAUGAAGCCAAUGCCCCAAACAUUGAAAAGAUCAACUAUUAAAAUGGGGUUCAUAGGCAUUUGGUUCCUACAUGUUAACUUCCCAAGUCUUUGGCAUCUAUCACAGCUCCUGCACAUGUUGUGAGCAUCUUUGAAAAGUGAUGGCCAAUUGAAACCUGAUAGCCACACCUUCAUGGUUGUUUUCUGAGAGGCAAAGUGGCCUCCACAUGCGCUUUCGUGGCAAUGACUGAGGAUCCCCUGUUGCUCUUGUUCAGGGACACACUUCCUUAUUAUUUGAUCUACACAAUACUUGAAAAGAAAAGGUUCUUCCCAAUAGUAGGCAUGAAUUUUUGCAAAGAAGUGCUUCCUAUCUUGUGCUUUCCACUCACUUGGAACUUCACCAAUAACUAGAUAGUUAGCAAUAUGAGCAUACCAAGGAGCAUAUUCUAACAACAUGAGUGACUCCUCCGGAAAAUCAUCAUUAAUAGGCAAACCAUGGGAAUUAUACGCUAUAGCCAGCCUUGAAAGGUGGUCAGCUACCACAUUCUCCACUCCUUUCUUGUCUUUGAUUUGGAAAUUGAACUCUUGUAGUAAGAGAAUCCAUCUAAUCAGCCUUGCUUUUGCAUCUUGCUUUGUCAAUAAGUACUUCAAAGCUGAGUGGUCAGUGAAAAUCACAAUGAAAGACCCUACUAGAUAAGCAUGAAAUUUGUCCAAGGCAAAAACUACAACCAACAGUUCUUUCUCUGUGGUUGUGUAGUUUCUUUGCGCUUCGUUCAAUGUUUUGCUUGCAUAGUAGAUCACAUAGGACUUUCCAUCCUCUAUUUGACUAAGAACAACUUCUAUAGCAAAGUCACUGGCAUCACACAUCACUUCAAAAGGUAGUUGCUAGUUAGGAGCCUUCACUAUUGGAGCUGUUGUCAAGAACUACUUCAGUUGCUCAAAACUCUUUUGACAUCUCUCAUCCCAUACAAAUUUAGCAUCCUUCACUAAUAGUUCACAAAGAGGCUUUCAAAGUUUAGAGAAAUCCUUAAUAAACCUCAUGUAGAACCCAGCAUGGCCAAGGAAUUGCCUUUCUCCUUUUACAGUUGUUGGGGAUAGCAAUUUGACAAUAAGUUCCACCUUUGCUUUAUCAACUUCAAUGCCUUUCUUGGAGAUGAUGUGGCCAAGGAAAAUUCCUUGAUGUACCAUAAAAUGACAUUUCUCCCAAUUAAGCACUAAGUUCUUUUCAAUGCAUUGGUUCAGAACAGUUUCCAAGUCGACUAAGCAUUUCUCAAAUGUGUUUCCAUAUAUGGUGUUAUCAUCCAUAAAAACUUCCAUAAUACGUUCCACAAUAUCACUGAAAAUGCUUAACAUACAUCAUUGGAAUGUUGCAGGUGCAUUUCAUAAACCAAAAGGCAUUCUUCUGUAGGCACAUGUUCCAAAUGGACAUGUGAAAGUGGUCUUCUUCUGGUCUUCAACAUCAAUUUCUAUUUGAAAAUACCUGGAGUAGUCGUCCAAGAAACAAUAGAAAUGAUGGCCUGAGACUCUCUCCAACACUUGAUCAAUAAAUGGCAACGGAAAAUGAUCAUUCCUUGUCACAACAUUCAAUUUUCUAUAAUCAAUAUACACCCUCCAACCUGAAGUGAGGCGUGUAGCAACUUCUUCUCCCUUAUCAUUUUGUACCAUUGUGAUCCCUGAUUUCUUUGGCACUACUUGAGUAGGACUCACCCAUGGGCUAUCUGAUAUGGGGUAGAUAAUACCGACCUGAAGUAGCUUAAGAACCUCAGCUCGCACCACCUCUUGCAUAUGAGGAUUCAAUCUUCUUUGAGGUUGACAAACUAGCUUAGCUUCUUCUUCCAUGUAUAUAUGAUGUGUAUAGACUAAAGGGCUGAUACCUUUCAAGUCAAGUAUUUGCCAUCCUAUUGCUUUCUUACAUCUCCUGAGAACUUCAAGUAAACACUCCUCCUGAGGAGUGGUAAGAGAUGAAGAUAUAACAAUAUGGCACUUCUUAUUCUCUUCUAGGUAUGCAUACUUCAACUCCGUGGGUAGUGGUUUUAGAAUAAGCUUUGGGGCCUCCUCUUUAACCGCUUCUUAUGCCUCCUCCUCAUUGAACAAAGGUAGAAUUUCUUCUGUCCUCCUCCAAGGUGGUAGAGUAGCAAGCAAAUCCGAGGGUUCAAGUAACCCUUCAUCAAGAUCCCCAAGACUUUCAUUCAACUUCUCUUGUAUUUUCUGAUUAUAAUGCUCCUCCACUAAAGUGUCAAUGAUGCACACCUCUUCUAGACCUUCUUCUUUUUCCGGAUUGAUUGGCCUCUUGCACAUAUAGAAGUUAUUGAGCUCCAAUGUCAUGUUGACAAAUGUGAGUUGAAUGAGUCCAUUCCUACAAUUGAUGAUUGCAUUUGAUGUAGCUAGGAAUAGUCUUCCAAGUAUGAUAGGAACAUAAUUAGUUUCUUUGACAAUUGGGUCCGUAUCAAAAACAACAAAAUCCACUAGAUAGUAGAAAUUGUCAACUUGAACUAAGACAUCUUCAAUCAUCCCUCUUGGAAUCUUCAUUGACCUAUCUGCUAGAGAUAGAGUGAUUGAUGUUGGCUUUAAUUCACCAAGUCCCAAUUGCUUGUAGACAGAGUAUGGUAGCAAAUUCACAUUUGCCCCCAAGUCUAACAAAGCUUUCUCCACUAACUUCCCUCCAAUCAUCACUGAGAUGGUGGGGCAACCCGGAUCUUUGUACUUCACUGGAGACUUGCACUGUAUGAUGGCACUUACUUGCUCAGUCAAGAAGGCUUUCUUAUUCACAUUCAACCCUCUUUUGAUAGUGCACAUGUUCUUUAGGAAUUUUGCAUAAGUCGGCACUUGUUUGAUCAUGUCUAGUAAUGGGAUGUUGACCUUCACUUGCCUCAACAGUUCAAGAAUUUCUAAUGCAUUGUUGAUUCCCUUUUUUCCAUACAAAGCUUGAGGAAAAGGUGGAGACAUAUGUUUCUUCAUCACAUCUCCAUUGAUAACUAUCUUCUCCGGAUCUUCAUUCACUGUUGAAUCAUAAUCAUCUUUCCUUCCACUGCUCCAUUUCUUCUUUCCUUUGAUUUCCUCCCUCUUUUCUGUCUCUUUUUCUUCACUCUCUGAUUCAUCAUGUGGCUUGGGUGUUGGCAGCUCAACCUCUUUCCCACUCCUCAGAGUGAUCAUGGCUUUGACGUCCCUCACCUGUGAAGAUUCUCCCUCAUGAGCCUCCACUUCAUGGAUACCCUUGGGGUUUUGGUGAGGUUGAGAAGGAAACCUUCCCUUCUCUUGCACUGUGUUAAGGUUGGUGAGUUUUGAGAUUGAGUAUUAGAGAUUAUCUAUCUUCUGAGAUAGAUCAUUUUUCAUUCCAUCCAUUCUUUUAUUCAACGUAUUCUCUACACUGUCGAUUCUUUGACUAAGUUGAGCACUGAUGGAUUUCUAGUCUCCAACAAAAUCUCCCAUGACCUUGCUUAGAUUCACUAUUGCUUGCUCAAGAUUUGGAGCUUGUUGAGAUGCUUGGCCUGGUUGCGUGUACUGAAGUGCUCUUGGUUUCUAGGAGAAAUUUGGAUGGUUCCUCCAAUUUGAAUUUUAGGUAUUUCAAUAUGAAGCAUUGUUAUUGGGCUUGAAUUGUCCAGUAACAUUCGCUUGAUCUCCAAACAUUUCUCUAAUAGUUGGAAUUGUAGGACACUCCUCCACCAAGUGCUCAUAAGAUUGACAAAUGGAUCAGGGCAUAACUUGCACUAGUGUUUGAGAAACGACUUGCACUUCACGUAUCUUUUUCAGUUCUAGCUCCUCCAAUCUUCUUGUCACAGCUGCAAAUUUUUCUUUCAUGUCAAUAUCUUCGUUCAAGGUAUACAUCCCAACCUUAUCAUUAAGAGCAUUUGGUUGAGACUUCAUUUUUCCCACUUCUCCCCUAUUCAGUUCAUCCCAUCCUCUUGAAACUUCAGCAACAUAAUUCAAGAAAUCCAUGGCUUCCUCCGGAUUCUUACUCAUGAAGUCUCCUCCACACAUCUUUUCUAAGAGUUGCUUCAUUGAGGAAGACAUACCAUCGUAAAAAUAGUUCACCAAUAGCCAUGCAUCAAAGCCAUGGUAAGGACAAGCAUUGAUAGCUUCCAUGUAUCUUUCCUAACAUUCAUAGAAUUUCUCAUUCUCCUUAGCUAAGAAGUUUGAAAUUUGCCUUUUCAAGCCAUUGGUCCUAUGAGUAGGGAAAAAUUUCUUGAGAAAUUUAACUUGCAAAUCAGUCCAUGUUUGGAUACUCCUUGGCCUUAAAGAAUUAAGCCAAAUCUUGGCCUUAUCCUUCAGAGUGAAAGGAAAUAGAUUUAGCCUCAUCAAGUCAAUUGAAGCUCCUCUCUCUUGGAAUGUAUUACAAACAUCUUCAAAUUCUUUGAUAUGCGCAUAGGGAUUCUCACUUUCCAUCCCAUGGAAUGUAGGUAGAAGUGGCACAAUAUGCGGUCUGAUUACUAGCUGCUCUGUAGGAGGCACUAUGCAUGAUGGUGCACUCAUACGAGGUGGAUGCUUGCGGUCCCUCAUUGAUCUGAAUGCAUUGGGAUUGUCCUACUGACCAUGGUGACUAUGCUGAUCUUUAGGUGUAGCUUCCAUGAUGUUCAAGCACAAUUCCAACUCUGUUUCAUGAGGUGUUUCAAUUUUCACAAGUCUUCCUCCCAUGUCUCGUAUCCAAUAUGGCAUACACAACUAGUAACAACUGUAACAAAAACAAAGAAAACAAAAGAAAACAAUACUAAAAAAAACUAAGACUAACUAAAAACUAAAUUAAAAGAUAGGCUAAAAUAUGAACAAGUAAAAGAAACAAUUAAAAAGAGUUAGUAAAAUAAAUAAAAAGUCACCAAAUUUGUGAUGAAGAUCACAAGUGUUUUGGAAAAGGUUAUAUCACUGUAAAGUUGGCACCAUCCCCGGAAGCGGCGCCAUUUGAUUCGUGCCCAGCUGGUGUAUGCCCUGUUGAUUGGUGUUCAAUCAACUAAUCUACUCUGAUUUCAGUCCUCAGACGGGAGUAAUCAACAAAAUUUAUAAACCUAUUUCACCAUAUACUAGGGUAGAAUUAACUAGCAUAGCAUAGUGGCUUUAGGAUCAUCCAUAGGGAAAAGUUUUCAAAUUACAAUUGAUAUUAGUUCAAAAAUUGAAAUGGUGCUUUUUCUUUUCAAGGUUGGCUUUAAAAGAAAACAUAAGUAUUUUUUAAAAGGUUGGUUUUAAGUGAAAGCAAAAAUAAAGUAACUGAAAUUACUUACAAAGAAAAGUGCUUCUUGGAGUUUUAGAUCACUAGGCUCAGGUUCCUUAUACAAAAAGGGAGAUUCUGAUCACUUGGAUCUUUUCCUCGCAUUGGGGAUUUAACAUAUAGUUAUUUCCCGAUCCGGUGUGGUACAGAUGCUUCCCUUUAAUGGUUUCAAACACUAAAUACCUGUCACUGAAUCAUCUUCCAACGGUUCAUACCUCUCACCUGGUAUUAGCCAUUCAGGGUGAUCUUUAACCUUGGAUUACCCGUGAAAAGCUCGCAAGAGAUAACUAAUGGAUGUCUCCUGGGAGUCCAAAAGCUUACCAAGUGUUGGCUAUUCUAGAUAAUCCUACCUUUAAACCACAUCCCAGAGGCUCGCAAGAGAUAAACUAGUCCAUCAUUCUUGGAUUGCUUUGGUGAUAAAAAAACUAUCAAAAACACCAAAACAUAACACAACUUGAUUAGAAAUGAUUACAAGAGUCCUUAACAUGCCAAUUGAGUUAAAAGGUAAUAACUACUACUCAAAAGUGUUUGAAAUACUUAACUACAAGCUAUAAAAUAACACUUUUUGAGUAGUAAUCACUAUUCAUAUAAUCUUGAGACCAAUGCUCAUGACAUAAAGUAGUACAUAUCAUCCGUAAUGCUAUGUUGGUCAUAGCAUUUAGAGCCAUGGUCUCAUGGUCUCAUGACCCGAAGUCAUUCACUUCAUCCAUAUCCUUGUACUAUUCAUAGCAUAUAGAGCCUUUUAUUCAUGACCUAAAAUCGUUCAUAUCAUCCACAACCCUAAGCUCUUCAUAGCAUCUAGAUCCUUGAGCUCACGACCUAGACUCAUGCAUAUCAUCCACAAUCCUGUGUUGUUCAUAGCAUUUAGAGCCUUAAGCUCAUGACCCGAAGUCGUUCAUGUCAUUCAUAGCCUUGAGAAGUUCUUAGCAUAUAAAGCCUUGAGUUCAUGACUCAGAGUAGCUCAUAUCAUCCACAGCCUUGAGUUGAUCAUAGCAUCUAGAGUUGUGAGCUCACGACCCAGAGUCCUUCAUGUCAUCCACAACCCUGAGAAAUUCAUAGCAUCUAGAGUAGAGCCGCCUUGAGGUCACAACCCAGAGUAGCUCAUAUAAUCCACAACCUUGAGCUGUUCAUAGCAUCUAAAGUCAUGAGCUCCUAACCCAGAGUCAUUCAUGUCAACCACAUACCUAAGUUAUUCAUAGUAUGUAGAGCCCUGAGCUCAUAAUCUAGAGUCAUUCAUGUCAUCCACACCCUUGAGCUAUUCAAAGCAUCUAGAAUGCUGAGCUCAUGACCUGAAGUUGUUCAUGUCAACCACAACCUUGAGUUAUUCAUAGCAUCUAAAGCGUUAAGCUCACUACCCAGAGUCGUUCAUGUCAUCCAUAGCCCUAUGUUGUUCAUAGAAUUUAAAGCCAUAGCUCACAACCAAGAAUCCUUUAUAUCAUCUACAACCUUGAGUUGUUCAUAACAUAUAGAGGCCUAAGCUCAUGGGAUCCUGAUUCAUUCAUAUCUUCCAAUACCUUAAGUUCUUCCUAGCAUCCAGAGUCGUAAGCUCACGACCUGGAAUAGCUCAUGUCACCCACAACCUUGAGUUGUUCAUAGCAUCUAGAGCCUUGAGUUCACGACUGGGACUCGUUCUUGUCAACCACAACCCUGAUUUGUUCAUGGCAUAUAUAGCCUUGAGCUCAUGACUAGGAGUCCUCCAUGUCAUCCACCGCCCUUAGCUUUUCAUGACAUUUAAAGCCAUAGGCUCACAACCAAGAAUCAUUCAUAUGAUCCUCAGCCCUAAGUUAUUCAUAGAAUCUAGAGGCCUAAGGUCACGGGAUCCCGCGUCAUUUAUAUCAUCCACAAUAAUGAGGUGUUCAUAACAUCUAGGGUCUUGAGCUCACGAAACAAAGUCAUCCAUAACCUUGAGUUGUUCAUUCUGUCUAGAGCCUUGAGUUCAUGACCCAAAAUCGUUCAUGUUAUCCACAACCCUAAGUUGUUCAUAGCAUCUAGAACCUUGAGCUCAUGACCCAGAAUUGUGUGUAUCAUUCAUAACAUGGAGCUGUUCAUAACAUCUAGAGACCUCAACUCAUGACCCUGAGUAGUUCAUGUCAUUAACAGGCAUAAGUUGUUCAUAGCAUGUAGAGCCUUGAUCUCAUGACUUAGAGUUGUUCAUGUUAACCAUAGGCCUACGCUCUUCAUAAUAUGUAGAGCCCUGAGCUCAUGACCUAGAGUAGUUCAUGUCAUCCACAACUCUGAGUUGUUCAUAGAAUCUAAAGCCCUCAACUCACAACCCGGAGUUGUUCAUGUCAACUAUAACCUUGAGUUGUUCAUAGCAUCUAAAACGUUGAGUUCACGACCCAAAGUUUUUUAUGUUAAACAUAGCCUUGAGUUGUUCAUAGCAUCUAAAGCCUUAAGCUCACUACUCGGAGUCAUUCAUGUCAGCCAUAACCCUCAAGUACUCAUAGCAUUUAGAGCCAUGAGCUCAUGACCAAGAACUAUUCAUAUGGUCCACAACCUUGAUAUGCUCAUAGCAUCUAGAGGACUAAGGUCACAGGAUCACGAGUCGUUAAUAUCAUCCACAACCCUGAGUUGUUCAUAGCAUCCAAAGUCCUAAGCGCAUAACCCGGAGUAGCUCAUGUCCUUGAAAACCAUGAGUUGUUUAUAGCAUCUAAAGCCCUAAGCUCAUGACCCAAACUCAUUCUUGUCAACCACAACCCUGAGUUUUUCAUAACAUAUAGAGCCCUAAGCUCACAACUUGUAAUCUUUCAUGUGAUGCACAACCUUGAGUUGUUCAUAACAUUUAAAUCCAUUGGCUCACGGCUAAGAAUCGUUCACAUUAUCCUCAACCCUAAGCUAUUCAUAGCAUCUAGAAGCUUAGGCUCAUGGGAUCCUAAUUCGUUCAUAUCAUCCAUAACUUUGAACUCAAAACCCGGAGUCGUUCAUGUCAUUCAUAACAUCCAUAAUGCUUAGUUGUUCCUAACAUCCGUAACCCUCAGCUCAUGACCUAGAGUACUUUAUAUCAUUCAUAACAUUGAGCUGUUCAUAGCGUUUAGAGUCAUGAGCUCACGACCUAGAGUCAUUCAUGUCAACCACAACCCUAAGUUGUUCAUAGUAUCUAAAGCCCUAAGCUCAUGACCCGGAGUCAUUCAUGUCCUCCAUAGCCUUAAGUUAUUCAUAGCAUUUAGAGCAUUACGCUCAUAACCCGGAGUAGCUCAUGUCAUCUAGAAUCCUUAGUUGUUCAUAGAAUCUAGAGCCCUAAGCUCAUGACCCGAACUUCUUAUUGUCAACCAUAACCAUGAGUAGUUCAUAACAUCUAAAGCCUUCAACUCAUGACCUAGGGUUGUCCAUAGCAUCCAUAACCUUGAGUUGUUCAUAGCAUAUAAAGGCUUGAGUGCAUAAUGUAGAAUUGUUAUUAACAUCCAAAGCCCUGAGUGGUUCAUAACAUCUAGAGGCCUCAAGUCAUAGGAGACUGAGUCAUUCAUAUCAUCCAUAACUAUGAGUUGUUCAUAGAAUCUAGACCCCUUAACUCACGACCCAAAGUUGUUCAAGUCAACCACAACCCUGAGUUGUUGAUAACAUCAUGAACUCUAAGCUCACGACUCAGAGUUGUUCAUGUCAUCCACAACAUUAAGCAAUUCAUAGCAUCUAAAGGCUUGAGCUCAUGACAUAAAAUCAUUCGUUAUUUUCCUAACCCUGAUCAAUUUAUAAAAUCUAGAGAACUGAGCUCACAAGAUCCCAAAUCGUUCAUGUUAUCCGCAACUUUGAGUUGUUCAUAACUUCUAGAACCUUGAGCUCAAGACUUGGAGCCUUUCAUGUUAACCAUAACCUAAGUUAUUCAUAGAAUCUUGAGGCCAUGACCUAGAGUCAUUCAUGUCAUCCACAACCCCGAGUUGUUAAACAUCUAGAGCCCUAAGCUCACAACCUAGAGUCGUUCACAUCAACCAUAACCUUGAGUUGUUCAUAGCAUCUAGAGGCUUGAAAUCAUGACAUAGAGCAGUUAUUAUCCACUACAACCCCAAGUUGUUCAUAGAUUUAGAGCCCUGAGCUCACGACCUGGAGUAGUUCAUGACAUCAACAACCUUAGGAAAUUCAUAGAACUUAGAUCCCUGAGCUCAGGACCUGGAAUCAUUCAUGUCAACCACAACCUUAAGAUAUUCAUAGUAUCUAGAGGAUUGAGCUCAAGACCCAAAGUCGUUCAUGUCAUUCACAACCCUAAGUUGCUCAUAGCAUCUAAAUCCAUGAGCUCACGACCCAAAGUCAUUCAUAUCAACCACAACUGAUUUGACUGUAUUCCCAGCCAGGUCUUUUAAUAAAAAAUAUUUAUAAAACCUAUGACCUUAUACUGGCGUAGAAAAGCUACUAUAGUAUAGCAGUUCUAGGGUCGAACUCAGGGAUGGGUUUUCACUCUAUCAGUGACAGACUCUAAAUUAGAAAUUGAUUCUGAUGAUUUCCUUUAGCACAAACUUGAAAUUUAAAAGAAACUAAAAUUGUUUUGAAAGUGGUGAUUUAAACUAAACUCACAUAGAACUAAGUAAAAAGUGGAAAAAAGAAAGUCUCCCGGAGCUAAAGGUUGCUAGGUUCAAGUACCAGAUGCAAAGUGGAAAAUUCCGGAUUUUUCUCCUCGCAUUGGGGAUUUAACCUAUAGUUAUUUCCCGAACCGGUAUAGGUUUGACAAUGAAGUUUUAAUCCAUAAAAAGUCACUAGAGAUGGUAGUCAAGGUCCAUUAAUGGCUUAAGACACUAUGGGUUAUCACUUUGAAUCACUUUCCAAUGGCUCGUACAUGAUAACUAAUGGACUGAUAUGGAUCUAGCAAUAAGCAUCCACAGAGACCUUAAGCUUACCAUGUAUUGGCCAGUCAAAGUGAUCCUAAGGGAUUUAAAGCAAAACUUUGAAUUUAGAAACCAUUUAUGGACUCCAACUACCUGAAUUUAAUGCACGGAAAUUUUCCACCUUUUAAUCUGGACUUUUCACCUAGCUUCCUUUACUCCAAGAAACUUUUGGUUUAGCCUCUCAUCCUCUGGGAAAACAUCCUCAGAGGGUGUUUGGCUUGCAAGAAAAUAGAAAAUAGAAGAGAGAAAAUAAACAAAAGAGAUCUCUGUAUAACAAAGUUACAUAAGUUGGUCUCCUGGAGAAAGCUCCCCGAAAAAAUCCAUUUUCAGUGAUUACAAGAGAAUUUAUAUAGGAAGGUAAUUUUACCCUUCCUUGGAUACUUCCUAGCUAAGGAAUUACAUGAGUGGUUGAAUACAAGGAGAAAAUGGAAAUUUAGACACAAAAAUAUCAGAAGAAAAAGAGUCGGCAAAAAUAUCCAAUUUUCGCAUGCUGAGUUCCAAUUUCGCACUUUGGUUUGAAGUGUGCGAAAUUUUUGCACAGUGGACUGAGGAUUUCGCACCUUGAUUUCCAUCGUGCGAAAUUUUCGCUCAGCCUGAUGCAGUUGUCUUCUGAAGGCCAUAUCUUUCUCAUUUCAGCUCCAAAUCAUACAUGGUUUGAACCGUUGGAUUCUUGACUUUCUGAGCUUUGAAAUGGUAUAUAGAAUGUAAAAAAUGAACUUCGGGAAGUUCUACAAAAGUGCAAUGAAAGACUGAAGCUGUGUCCCCUAUUUUCAUCCCCUGUUUUCCUCUUCUCCAUUGUUUCUUCCUUGUAUACUUUAAACCACUAAGGCAAAGGAUUAUGAGGCUCCAUAGCUUGAUUUCUUCAUAAAUUUAAGCUUUCAAAAGCUUUGCCCUGAACUAUAAAUAGCUCUCCCUCAUUCUUAAAUUGCUUUGGUGAGCAUAAAGCUAUCAAAAAGCACCAAAACUUAACACAAUUGUUAGAAACGAUUGCAAGGGCUCCUAACAUGCUAAUUGGGUUAAAAGGAAAUAAUUACUACUCAAUGGUGUUUAAAAGAGCUAAUUACAAGCUACAAAAUAGCAUGUUUUGAGUAGUAAUCACUAACCCAGGGGUGUACGAUGCAUCUAGAGCCUUGAGCGCAUGACCAAGAGUCACUCCUGUCAACUAACACCAUGAGAAGUUUAUAAUAUCUAGAGCCUUGUGAUCAUGACCUGGAGUUGUUCAUGCCAUCCACAACCUUGAGUAGUUCACAACUCUAAGUUGUUUAAAGCAUCUAUAGCCUUGAGUUCACGACUCAAAGUCGUUCAUGUCAACCAUAACCUUGAGUUGUUUAUAGUACAUAGAGCUUCGAGCUCACAACCUAGAGUCAUUCACGUCAUCCACAAUCCUCAGUUGUUCAUAGCAUCUAUAACCCUCAACUUAUGACCCAGAGUCUUUCAUUUCAUCAAUAACUGAGACUUACAUAUGGCAUGUAUAACCCUUAGCUCAUGACCUAGACUAUUUCAUGUCAACCACAACCCUGAGUUGCUCAUAGAAUCUUGAGGCCUUAGCUCAUGAUUGAUUUCAUUUAUAUCAUCCACAACAUUGAGUUGUUAAGAGCAUCUAAAGCCUUAAGCUCAUGACCUGGAGUCUUCAUGUCAACCACAAACCUACAUUGUUCAUAGCAUCUAGAGCCUUGAGCUCAUGACUCAGAGUCAUUCAUGUUAUUCACAACCAUGAGUUGUUGAUAGCAUCUACAACCCUGAGCUCACGACCCAGACCUGAGUAGUUCAUAUCAUUUAGAGGCUUGAGCUCAUGAUGGAGAAUCAUUCACAUCAUCCAGAACUUUGAGCAAUUCAUAAGAUUUAAAGGCUUAAGCUCACAGGAUCCUGGGUCAUUCAUACAUCCAUAACUCUGAGCUCUUCAUAGCAUCUAGAGCCCUAGGCUCACGACUAGGAGUAGCUCAUGUCAUCCAUAUCCGAGAGUUGUUCAUAGCAUUUAGAUUCUUAAGCUCAUGACCCAGAGUUGUUCAUGUCAACCACAACCCUAAGUUUUUCAUACCAUCUAGAGCCUUGACCUCUCGACCUGUAAUCUUUCAUGUCAUCAACAACCCUAACCUAUGUAUAACAUCCAGAGCCCUCAGCUCAUGACUCGAAGUCUUUCAUGUCAUUUACAACCUUAAGUUAUGCAUAACAUCUAGAGCUAUAAGCUUAUAACUAGGAGUCUUUGAUGUUAACUGAUUACUACCCAAAAAGUGCUAUUUUGCGCAUUUAAUUCAUUAUUUUUUAAGCACUUUUGUGCAGUAGUUCUCCAUUUUUAUUCCAAUUGGCAUGUUAAGGACCUAGCAAUGACUUCUAAUCAUAUUUGUGGCUAGUUUUAGUGUUUUGACAGUUUUUUGGUUCACUAAGACAAGCCAAGUAAAGGAGAAAAGCAAAGAGGAAAACAGAGGACAGCAGCUACAAUCUUCCUUCGCACUUCUGGAGCACUUCUCGAAGUCUAUUUUCUACAUGCUAUAUACCAUUUCAAAACUCAGGAAGUCAAGAAUCCAACUCUUCAAACCAUGUACGAUUUGGAGCUAAAAUGAGGAAGAUAUGACCUUCGGAAGACAACUGCAUCAAGCAAGUGCGAAUUUUGCACCAGCCCAAGCAAGUGCGAAUUUCGCACCAGCCCAUGCAAGUGCAAAUUUCGCACCAGCCCAUGCGACUUUGGUGUGAAAUCUCCUCUGUUCUGCUAACUCCACAUGAGAUCUUUUCUUUUGUAUUUUUUGAUGUAAAUUCCUUUCUUAUCCUUGUAAUUAGCCAAUCACAGGCUUUGCUUUGUAAAGACUAUAAGAGGGGUGGAAAUCAUCUUUCGAAACAGAUAUUGUAUAUUUUACACUUAGUGAAAUUUUCCUCUCGGGGAGAAAUACAGGGUUCUCUUUGCUUUCCUUUUCUCUCUUCUAUUUUUUCUUUUUCUUGGAAGCCAAACAACCUCUGAGGAUGUUUUCCCAAAGGAUGAGAGGCUAAACCUUUAGUUUCUUGGAGUGAAGGAAGCUAGGUGAAAAGUCCAAAUGCAAAAGUGGAAAACUCUCGUGCAUUAAAUACAGGUAGUUAGAGUUCAUAAAUGGCUUUUAAAUCUAAAGUUUUGCUUUAAAUCCUUUAGAAUCACUUUGAAUGGCCAAUACAUGAUAAGCUUUAGGUCUCUGUGGAUACUUAUUGCUAGAUCCACAUCAGACCAUUAGUUAUCAUGUACGAGCCAUUGGAAAGUGGCUCAACGUGAAGACCCAUAGUGUCUAAAGCCAUUAAUGGAACUUGACUACCAUUUCUAUUGACUUUUUAUGGAUUAAAUCUUCAUUGUUAAACCUAUAUCGGUUCGGGAAACAACCAUCCUUUAUGUUGUUGUCCCCAAUACGAGGAGAAAAAUCUGAAAUUUCCCACUUUGCAUUUUGAACUUGAUCCUAGCAACCUUUAGCUCCGGGAGACUUUCUUUCUUCCAUUUUUACCUAGUUUUAUGUUAGGUUAAUUUCAAACACCACUUUCAAAACAAAUUUUAUUUUCUUUUGAACUUUAAUUUUUUGACAAAGGAAAUCAUCAGAUUCAAUUUCUAAUCUUGAGUCUAUCACUAGUAGAGUGAAAACCCAUCCCAGAGUUUGACCCUAGAGCUGCUAUACUAUAGUAGCUUUGCUACGCUAGUAUGAGGUCAUAGGAUUUAUAAAUACUUUUGAUUAAAAUACCCAACUGGGCACGAAUCAAUAACCAUAACCUUAAGCUUUACAUAAAAUCUAGAGGGCUGAUCCCAUGACCCAAAAUCGUUCAUGUCAUCCACAACCCUGGUUUAUUAGUACCAUCAAGAGCCUUGAGCUCACGACCUAGAGUCGUUCAUGUCUUCCACUGCCCAAAGCAGUUCAUAGCAUCUAGAGGCUUGAGCUCAUGACACAGAAUCGUUCAUAUCAUCCAUAACCUAUAGCAGUUUAUAACAUCUACAGGCCUAAGCUCACGGGAUCCCAAGUCGUCUAUAUCAUCCACAACUAUAAGUAAUAGAUUUUAAAACCUUAAGCUCAACACCUAAAGUCUUUCAUGUCAACCACCACCUUGAGUUGUUCAUAGUAUCUAUAGCCUUGAACUCAUAACCCAGAGUAGUUGAUGUCAUCCACAACCCUAAGUUUUUUAUAGCAUCUAACGCCUUGAGCUCAUGACCUAAAGUCGUUCAUGUCAACCCUAGCCCUAAGUUGUUUAGAGCAUCUAGAGCCUUGAGAUCAAAACCUAGAUUUGUUCAUGUCUUCCAUAGGGUUGAGCGGUUUAUAGCAUCUAAAAACUUGAGCUCAUGAUGCAGAAUUGUUCAUAUCGUCGACAACCCUAAACAGUUCAUAACAUCAAGAGGUAUAAGCUCACAGGAUCCUGAGUCAUACAUAUAAUCAACAACUCUAAGUUGUUCAUAACAUCUAGAGCCCUAAGAUCACGACCUAGAAUAAAGCAUGUCAUCCACAACCCUAAGUUGUUUAUAGCAUCUAGAGCCUUUAGCUCACGACCCAGAGUCAUUCAUGUCAUCCACAACCCUAAGUUGUUUAUAGUAUCAAGAGCCUUGAGUUCACGACCUAAACUCUUCCAUGUAGAGCCUAUGUAUAUCAUGUAGAGCCCUAAGCUCAUGACCCAAAGUCUUUCAUGUCAUUAACAACCUUAAGUUGUACAUAGCAUCUAGAGCCUUGAACUCAUGACUCAAAGUCUUUCAUGUCAACCACAACCUAGAGUUGUUCAUAGAAUCUAAAGGCAUGAGCUCAUGACCCACAGUCAUUCAUGUCAUCCACAAUCCUAACUUGUUAAUAGCAUCUAGAACCUUAAGCUCAUUGCCCAGAGUCAUUCAUGACAAUUACAACCCCGAGUUGUUCAUAGUAUCUAGAGUCUUGAGCUCAUGACCCGAAGUUGUUCAUGUCAACCACAACACUAAGCUAUUCAUAGCAUUUAGAGUUAUUCAUAACAUCUAGAGCCUUGAGCUCACGACUUGGAGUCAUUCAUGUCAGCCACAACCCUGAGAUGUUUAUCGACAACCUUAAGUUGUGCGUAGCAUUUAGAGUCCUCGGCUCAUGACUCAAAGUCUUUCUUGUUGACCAUAACCCUAUGUUGUUCAUAGAAUCUAGAGGCUUGAGCUGAUGAAUUGGAGUCAUUCCUCUUAUCCACAACCCUAAGUUGUUAAUAGCAUCUACAACCUUGAGCUCACAACCUAGAGUUGUUCAUGUCAUCCACAACCCUUAACAAUUCAUAUCAUCUAGAGGCUUCAACUCAUGACGCAGAAUCAUUCAUAUCAUCCAUAACCCUAAGCAUUUCAUAACGUCUAAAGGCUUAAGCUCAUGGGAGUCUUUCAUAUCAUCCACAACUCUGAGCACUUUAUAACAUCUAGAGCUUUGGUCUCACGAUGUAGAUUAGCUCAUGUCAUCCACAACCUAAAGCUGCUAAUAGCAUCAAAGCCUUAAGCUCAUGACUAGAGUCAUUCAUGUCAUCCACAACCCUGAGUUGUUCAUAGUAUCUAGAGCACAGAGCUCUUGACCUAGAGUCUUUCAUGGCAUCGAUAACCCUAACCUGUGUAUAACAUCUAGAGUUCUCAGCUCACGACCCGGAGACUUUCUUAUCAUUGAUAACCUUAAGUUGUACAUAACUUCUAGAGCCCUAUACUCACGACCAGGAGUCUUUGAUGUCAACCAUAGGCUUAAGUUGUUCAUAGAAUCUAGAGGCCUGAGCCCAUGACCCAAAGUCGUUCAUGCCACCCACAACCCUAACUUAUUAGUAGCAUCUAAAGCCUUUAGUUCACUACCCGAAGUCAUUCAUGUUAAUUACCACCCUGAGUUGUUCAUAGCAUCUAGAGCCCUGAGAUCACGACCCAGAGUCAUUCAUAUCUUCCAUAGCCCUGAGUAGUUCAUGGCAUUUAGUGGUUGAGCUCAUGACACAAAAUCGUUCAAAUCAUCUACAGCCAAGAGCGGCUCAUAGCAUCUAUAAGCCUAAUCUCACAGGAUCCCAAGUCAUUGAUAUCAUUCACAACCCUGAGUUAUUCAUACCUUCUAAAGCCCUAAGAUCAAGACCUAGAGUCUUUCAUGUGAACCACUACCUUGAGUUAUUCAUAAUAUCUAAAGCUCUGAGCUUAUAACCUGGAGUUGGUAAUGUCAUCCAUAGCCUUGAGUUGUUGAGAGCAUCUAGUGCCUUAAGCUCAUAACCUGAAGAUGUUCAUGUCAGCCACAACCUUGAGCUUUUCAUAGCAUCUAGAGCCCUGAGAUUACGACUCUGAGUCAUUCAUGUCUUCCAUAGCCUUGAGCAAUUCAUAGCAUUUAAAGGCUUGAGCUCAGGAAGUAGAAUCAUUCAAUUAUCCAUAACCUUAAGCGAUUCAUAGCAUCUAGAGGAUUGAGCUCAUGGGAUCCAAAUUCGUUCAUAACAUCCACAAUUCUGAGUUGUUCAUAGCAUCUAAAUCCCUAAGCUCAUGACUCGGAGUAGCUCAUGUCAUCCAAAGCCUUGAGUUGUUUAUGGAAUCUAGAGCCCUGAGCUCAUGACUUGGAGUCAUUCAUCUUAUCCACAACCCUAAGUUGUUAAUAGCAUCUACAACCUUGAGCUCACAACCUAGAGUUGUUCAUGUCAUCCACAACCCUUAACAAUUCAUAUCAUCUAGAGGCUUCAACUCAUGACGCAGAAUCAUUCAUAUCAUCCAUAACCCUAAGCAUUUCAUAACGUCUAAAGGCUUAAGCUCAUGGGAGUCUUUCAUAUCAUCCACAACUCUGAGCACUUUAUAACAUCUAGAGCUUUGGUCUCACGAUGUAGAUUAGCUCAUGUCAUCCACAACCUAAAGCUGCUAAUAGCAUCAAAGCCUUAAGCUCAUGACUAGAGUCGUUCAUGUCAUCCACAACCCUGAGUUGUUCAUAGUAUCUAGAGCACAGAGCUCUUGACCUAGAGUCUUUCAUGGCAUCGAUAACCCUAACCUGUGUAUAACAUCUAGAGUUCUCAGCUCACAACCCGGAGACUUUCUUAUCAUUGAUAACCUUAAGUUGUACAUAACUUCUAGAGCCCUAUACUCACGACCAGGAGUCUUUGAUGUCAACCAUAGGCUUAAGUUGUUCAUAGAAUCUAGAGGCCUGAGCCCAUGACCCAAAGUCGUUCAUGCCACCCACAACCCUAACUUAUUAGUAGCAUCUAAAGCCUUUAGUUCACUACCCAAAGUCAUUCAUGUUAAUUACCACCCUGAGUUGUUCAUAGCAUCUAGAGCCCUGAGAUCACGACCCAGAGUUAUUCAUAUCUUCCAUAGCCCUGAGUAGUUCAUGGCAUUUAGUGGUUGAGCUCAUGACACAAAAUCGUUCAAAUCAUCUACAGCCAAGAGCGGCUCAUAGCAUCUAUAAGCCUAAUCUCACAGGAUCCCAAGUCAUUGAUAUCAUUCACAACCCUGAGUUAUUCAUACCUUCUAAAGCCCUAAGAUCAAGACCUAGAGUCUUUCAUGUGAACCACUACCUUGAGUUAUUCAUAAUAUCUAAAGCUCUAAGCUUAUAACCUGGAGUUGGUAAUGUCAUCCAUAGCCUUGAGUUGUUGAGAGCAUCUAGUGCCUUAAGCUCAUAACCUGAAGAUGUUCAUGUCAGCCACAACCUUGAGCUUUUCAUAGCAUCUAGAGCCCUGAGAUUACGACUCUGAGUCAUUCAUGUCUUCCAUAGCCUUGAGCAAUUCAUAGCAUUUAAAGGCUUGAGCUCAGGAAGUAGAAUCAUUCAAUUAUCCAUAACCUUAAGCGAUUCAUAGCAUCUAGAGGAUUGAGCUCAUGGGAUCCAAAUUCGUUCAUAACAUCCACAAUUCUGAGUUGUUCAUAGCAUCUAAAUCCCUAAGCUCAUGACUCGGAGUAGCUCAUGUCAUCCAAAGCCUUGAGUUGUUUAUGGAAUCUAGAGCCCUGAGCUCAUGACUUGGAAUCGUUUAAGUCAACCAUAAUCCUGAGUUGUUCAUAGUAUCUAGAGCUUUGAGCUCGUGGCCUAGAGUUGUUCAUAUCAUGCACAACCCUGAGUUAUUCAUAGCAUCUAGAGCUCUAAGCUCCUGACGCAUAGUCUUUCAUGUCAUUGACAACUGAUUACUACUCAAAAAAUGUUAUUUUAUAGCUUGUAAUUAACUCUUUUAAACAAUUUUGAGUAGUAGUUAUUACCUUUUAACUCAAUUGGCAUAUUAAGGACCCUUACAAUCGUUUCUAAUCAAAUUGUGUUAAGUUUUGGUGUUUUUGAUAACUUUUUUAUCACCAAAGCAAUCUAAGAUGAGGGAGAGCUUUAUAUAAUCCAUGGCAAAGCAAAUGAAAGCUCAUUUACAUGAAGAAUCCAAGCUUUGGAGCUUCGUAGUUCUUUGCCAAAGCCAAUCAAGAAUGCAAGGACGAAAAACAGAGGAAUCUAACAUGAAGAAUUCAAGAGGACAGCAAAUGUUGGACACAUUUAGAGUACUUCAUGGAGUCCCUUUUAUGCAUACUAUAUGCUUUUUCAAAGCUUGGGAAGUCAGGAGUCCAACGCUUCAAACGGUGCAUGAAUUGGAGUUGAAACGAAGAAGUUAUGACCAUUUGAAGACAACCGCAUUAAGCUGUGGGAAAAUUUCGCAGCUGCGAAAUCAACCUUCCCUUACGAAAGCCACUUGUGCAAUCUAAGAUAUUUGCCACCGACUAAGUGAGAUUUUUUCUCAAGAUAUUUUGUGUAAAUUUCUAUUUUCUCCUUGUAAUAAGCUAAAGAUAUUAUUGGGACAUUUCUUAGAAAAUAUCUUCUAUAUAUAUCUCUAAACCAAUAUGAUAGAUCAUAGAUCCGAUAUAUGUAAUCUGAUGAGAGGAGAAUCAUAAGUAAGAAAUAUAUCUACAUAGCACUUGCUCUACUUUUCCUUCAUAUUUUUGUUUUCUUGUUAUUUUUAUUUCUAGCUAAUCAAACUCUGAGGAUGUUUCCUCAGAGGAUGAGUGGCUAGGCUUUUUGUCUCUUGGAGUGAAGAAAACCGGGUAAGUUUCCGAAUGCAAAAAUUGGAAGUUUUGUUAUUUCAACUUUUAAUGAGGAGAAAGCAUGACCCUUUAAUGGUUUCUAUGUUUUUAGUUCAAUUAAAACGCCUUUAAAUCACUUGGGCCAACACUUGGUAAGGCAAGUGAUCUCCAUCCAUUGAGAUGCACUAGUUUAUCUCUUGCGAGCCUUUGGGAGGUGGUUUAAAGGUAUGAUUUUCUAGAAUAGCCAACACUUGGUAAGCUUUUAGACUCCAAGGAGACAUUCAUUAGUUAUCUCUUGCAAGCUUUUGACGGGUAAUCCAAGGUUAAAGAUCACCUUGAAUGGCAAAUGCUAGGUGAGAGGUAUGAGCCAUUGCAAGAUGCUUCAGUGACAGGGAUUUAGUGUUUGAACCCAUUAAGGGGAAGCAUCUGUACCACACCAAUUUGGGAAAUAACUAUAUGUUAAAUCCCCAACACGAGGAAAAGAUUCAAGUGAUUGGAACUCCCUUUUUGCAUAAAGAACCUGAGCCUAGUGAUCUGAAACUCCAAGAAACACUUUUCUUUGUAAUUAAAAUCAGUUACUAUUUUUUGUUAGCUUAAAACCAACCUUUUCAAACAUCUUUAUGUUUUCUUUUAAAGCUAACCUUGAAAUGAAAAAGCACAAAUUCAUCUUUGAAUUAAUAUCAAUUAUGAAGUGAAAACCCAUCCCAGUGAACGAUCCUAGAGCCACUAUGUUAUGCUAGCUGAGGCUAUCCUAGUACAUGGUGUAAUAGGUUAUAAAUUUUGUUGAUUACUCCCGUCUGAGGACCGGAAUCAAGGUACACCAGCUGGGUACAAAUCAAAGGGCGCCAUUGUUAGGGAUGGUGCCACUUUAUACUGUUAUCACCUUUCCAGAGUACUUAUGAUCUUCAUCACAAGUUUGGUGACUUUUCUUUUCUUUUUACUAACUCUUUUUAUUUGUUUUUUUUUCUUUCUUUGUUCAUAUUUUAGUAUACCUUUUAUUUGGUUUUUAGUUUACCUUAAUUUUUUUUAUUAGAAUUCUUUUUCUUUUGUUUUCUUUUGCUUUCUCUGUUUUUAAUUCUCAAAUUGCUAGUUGUGCACACCAUAUUGAAUAUGAGAUAGCAGAGGAAGCCAUGAACUUCAUGAGUUAUGUGGUUGAAGUUUCAAGAGGAUGGGAUGAACCAAAUGCUAGAGAUAUGGGAAGAAUGACGUCUCAACCUAAUGCUAAGGGUGAGAUGUAUAUUUUGAACGACGGUAGAGACAUGAAGGCAAAGAUUGCAACUAUGGCAAGGAGAUUGGAAGAGCUAGAAAUGAAGAAGAUGCAAGAAGUGCAAGCCAUCUCUCAGACACCAUUGCAAGCUAUGCCUUGUGCCAUUUGUCUAUCUUAUCAGCACUUGGUGGAAGAGUGUCCUACCAUUCCAGCAGUGAGGGAAAAUGAUUACUACUCAAAAAGUGCUAUUUCAUAGCUUGUAAUUAACUCUUUUAAACACUUUUGAGUAGUAGUUAUUGCCUUUUAACCCAAUUAACAUGUUAAGGACCCUUGCAAUCACUUCUAAUCAAUUUGUGUAAAGUUUUGGUGUUUUGAUAGCCUUUUUGAUCACCAAAGCAAUAUGAGAUUGAGGAGAGUUAUUUGGAAUUCUUGGCAAAGCAAUGGAAAGCUCAGAAACAUGAAGAACCAAAGCUUUGAAGUCCUUUUCCAUAAGCAAAUCUGGAAUGCAAGGAGGGGAAGCAGAGAGAAAUCCACCAUGAAGCAAUUUCUUGAUGACAGUCAUUUCAGCCACUUUUGGAGCACUUCCCAAAGUCUAUUUUCUACCUUCUAUAUACCAUUUCAAAUCUCAGGAAGUCAAGAAUCCAAUUCUUCAAACGGUGUGCGAUUCAGAGUUGAAAUGAAGGAGUUACAGCCAUUGCAAGCCGAUCACUCUAAGCUGAAGGAAGAAUUUUGCACAGCGUUACGAAAUCACCCUUUUGUUGCGAAAUGAUUUCGCAGCCAUUUUGCACAGUGCUCUGGAAUUCCUCCUGAAGUUUCCCGAUAUUUCCCGACACGUUGGAAGCCGAGAACCGCAAGUUGAAAGCCAACUUCAUCGCGCUGCGAAAUCAGCCUUUUGUUGCGAAGUGAUUUCGCAGCCCUUUUUGUGCGUCUACGAAAUCUCGCAGACCUCGUUUUCACCUGCGAAUUGGUCCUUAGUGCUUCCCGAUAUUUGUGACCGACACUUUUGGAUAUUUUGCUUCAGAUUUUUGAUGUCUAAAUCCCCAUCUUCUCCUUGUACGCCACCAAUUAUAGGAUUCCUUAGUUAUUAAGUUGGGAAAAGGUGUUAAUAACCUCAGAUAUUUUGUUUUGUAAUUUUCUGUAUAUAUAGCUCUCGGGAGCUUGUUCUCAGAGAAUCAUGUAAUAUAGCAUCAUGUAAUCCGACGGGUGGAAGAUAUAUAUUUUACAGAGCACUUGCUCUAUUCUUCCUUCAUAUAUAUACAUAUUUUUGUUUUCUCAUUCUUUUUAUUUCUAGCCAACCAAACUCUGAGGAUUUUUCCUUAGAGGAUGAGAGGCUAGGCUUUUUGUCUCUUGGAGUGAGGAAAGCCGGGUAAGUUUCCACAUGCAUAAAUUGGAAGUUUUGUUGUUUUAGUUUUUAAUGAAGAGAAAGUGUGACCCGUUAAUGGUUUUUAUCUUUUUAGUUAACUUAAAACGCCUUUAAAUCACCUGGGCCAACACUUGGUAAGGCAAGUGAUCUCCGUCCAUGGAGAUUCACUAGUUUAUCUCUUGCGAGCCUUUGGGAGGUGACUUGAAGGUAGGAUUUUCUAGAAUAGCCAACACUUGGUAAGCUUUUGGACUCUAAGGAGACAUUCAUUAGUUAUCUCUUGCGAGCUUUUGACGGGUAAUCCAAGGUUAAAGAUCACCUUGACUGGCAAGUGCUAGGUGAGAGGUACGAGCCAUUGCAAGGUGCAUCAGUGAGAGGGAUUUAGUGUUUGAACCCAUUAAUGGGAAGCAUCUGUACAGCACCGGUUAGAGAAUUAACUAUAUGUUAAUUCUCCAAUGCGAGGAAAAGAAACAAGUACCGGAACUCCCUUUUUGUAUGAGGAAUCUAAGCCUAGUGAUCUGAAACUCCAAGAAAAACUUUUCUUUCUAAGUAAAAUCAGUUACUAUUUUUGGUUAGUUUAAAACCAAACUUUUUUCAUUCAAACAUCUUUAUGUUUUCUUUUAAAUCUAACCUUGAAAUGAAAAGGCAUCAAUUCAGCUUUGAAUUAAUAUCAUUUCCAAAGUGAAAACCCAUCCCAGUGAACGAUCCUAGAGCCACUAUGCUAUAGUAGCUUUGUCUUUGCUACCCUAGUAUAUGGUGUAAUAGGUUAUAAAUUUUGUUGAUUACUCCCUCAAUCAAGGAGCACCAGCUGGACACGAAUCAGUUGAGACACCAAUUGGGCAUGAAUCAAAUGGAGCCGUUGCCGGGCAUGGUGCCACUUUACAGUGAUAUCACCUUUUCAGAGUACUUGUGAUCUUCAUCACAAGUUUGGUGACUUUUCUUUUCUUUUUACUAACUCUUUUUAUUUGUUUCUUUUUCUUUGUUCAUAUUUGAGAAUACUUUUUAUUUAGUUUUUAGUUUACCUUAAUUUUAUUUUUUUCCUUUGAAUUGUUUUUCUUUUGUUUUCUUUUGUUUUCUCUGUUUUUAAUUCACAAAUUGCUAGUUGUGCAUGUUAUAUUGAGUAUGAGAUAGUAGAGGAAGCCAUGAACUUUGAUCUGCCCACAUGAAAGCUAGAGCAUAAGGAAGAGAGUGAAACAAAUAAAGAAAAGAGGGAGGAAAUCAAAGGAAAGAAAAAGGGGAAAAGCAUAGACGAAGAUGACUAUGAUUUUGAUAUAGAUGAAGAACCACAGAUGAUAGUCAUCAAGGAAUUGAUGAAGAAACACAUGCCUCCAUCUUUCCCCUAAGCUUUGUAUGGAAAAUCAUACAAACCAAGUCUCAAGUGAAGGAUGCAAACUUCAUAUGGGAUCCGGGCAAGCUAAAUCAGGAUCAAAUUUUUUGAUGGACUUAGUCUUUUUAAAGACUAGCUAGUCCAUAUCUUUUUGUUUUGUCUUUUUUACUUGUUUUAAUUUUGAUUUCAAUGCUUUAAUUUUGAUUUCAAUGCUUUAAUUCUAAUUUGUUUUUAUAUAGGUUUUUGGAUGAUCAAAAUCAGGAGGAAUUGCAAAGAAAUUGAAAGGAAGUCUUUCGGAGCAAAAACGGGUCAAAAAUAGGGCAAAAACAAGGGAAAACUCUCUACGAAAAUUUUCGCAGCUGCGAAACCACUUUUGGCACACGAGUGCCACUUCGUAGCACAGGAGCCCCCAUUUCGCAGCAUAGAAGCCCCCAUUUCGCAGCUGCGAAACGGCUGCGAAGCUAUAAAGCUUGAAAAUUUCCAAUUUCGCAGCCAAAGCUCCAUUUGGCAGGGUAUUUCGCAGUUGCGAAACCAACUUUUGGCACAUGAGUGCCAUUUCGCAGCACAGUGAAUCUCAUUUCGCAGCUGCGAAAUGGCUGCGAAAUCCAAAAAAAAAAAAAAAAACAGAGCCUUUGCUAUGAGGAAAAAUAAAAAAUAAUAAAAUUUCGCAGCCAAAGCCCCAUUUCGUAGGGUGUUUUGCAGAUGUGAAACCAACUUUUGGCACACGAGUGCCAUUUCACAGCUGCGAAACGACUGCGAAGCAUAAAAAACUCCCAAUUUCGCAGCCAAAGCCCCAUUUCGUAGGGUGUUUUGCAGCUGCGAAACGGCUGCAAAGCAUAAAAACUCCCAAUUUCGCAGCCAAAGCCCCAUUUCGCAGGAUGUUUUGUAGCUGCGAAGCGUAAAAACUCCCAAUUUUCGCAACCAAAGCCCCAUUCCGCAGGGAGUUUCUCAACUGCGAAACCACUUUUUGGCACACAAGUGCCAUUUCGAAGCCCCCUACACUCAUUUUGCAGCUACGAAAUGGGCUGCAGAAAUGGCCUUUAGCUGCGAAAUCACCUUUAGGCUGCGAAAUGGUCUGCGAAAAUGCCACUUUUCUGCGAAAUGAUCUCUAAGCUUCGAAAUGGCUGCGAAAUGAUCUCCAAGCUUCGAAAUGGCUGCGAAAUCACCUCCAAGCUUAGAAAUGGCCUUUAAAUUGUGAAAUUGACUUGCGAAAUGGAGGAAGGUUUGCAAAAACACCUUGCAAAGCCAAAGGAAGUUGCUAAAAUGCCAUCAGAGCCCCGCGACCAUGCAUCUGAAGAAGAGAGCCCCGCGCACCCUGGAAUCACACACACUAAGCCUCUCACUCCAUUUCUAACUUCCUUAAACCAUCAGAGCCCAUAGCUCCAGUUGAGGAGACUAUGCCAUCUAAGGAGACUACCAGAACAGAGGCCAAAGUCCUAAUUCAACCCAUUCAAGAGGCCACCACAGACGCAUCAACUCCACAAGACCUUACCAUUACUUGAUCAUCUCUUUACUUUUUGUCUACACAUAUUAUAUUAGUAUAGAUAACUCCAUGUUUUGAUGUCUUAUAUUCUGGGAUUGGAUGUAUUACUGAUGAUGCAUCAUAUAUAGACAUCAUUUUUUGUUUAAACUUGUCAUUUUUCUAUUUCCUGUACUCACUAACUUUUUUGUGUUUCUUUGAAACAUGUGGUUUCUCCUAUACGACUCAUACUCCAUGUCACUCAGGAGGUACCACUUCCUCCCUAUUUUUCAAUCUCUUUUGUCACAUUGAGGACAAUGUUCAGCUUGGUUGGGGGGAGAGUUGAGGAAGUAAGUAUUGUUAAUAAUGCUAAGUUAUUUUGGUAAUUUAGUUGCUUUUUGCUUAAUUUAAAAAUUUUAAAAGUUUUUAUUUUACUUUCCAUGUUAUUAAGGAAAAAUUUUCAAAAUGAAAUGGGAGAAAUUGAAUUUUUGUCUUUUUACUUGACUUAGAUUUUGUAUUAUGCUUAUUAAAGUAGAUGAAUUGUUGAAACUUCUUUUGAAUUCAACCUUAGUUCUUCCACUUUAAGCUAUUCACACACUGUGUACAAUAGGUUCCGAGUAUAAGAUGAAAAACUAUUUCCCUCUUGACUUAGGAAAAUUUUAGACUUGGUACCUUUGACCUUAUUUAAUAGUGUUGGGACACCUUAUAAAAGGCCAAUGAGUCUUUGAAAAAAAAAAUGUUUGCUUGCCUUGAAACCCGAGCAAGGUCUGAGGGGUAUAUGGUGAAAAUCUUUAAAACCUGGUGCCCUAAGCCUUAAUUGGUUGGGAGUCACCGAUCUCAAUGCUCGUUACAAGGGUGGAUAGGUGGAGUUUAACAUACUGUAGGUGCUUGGGUAUUAAAAUUCAUUCUCAAAAGUCCGGGGUAAAAUCUGAGGAGUUAGUGGUUGAAAGAUCCUUAAAACUUGAUGCCCUAAACUUUAAUUGGUUGGGAGUCAUCGAUGGACCCCCGUUACAUGAACAAUUUAGAAAAGAAUACCUUUAAGCCUUGUACUCCUACAAUGAAAAAAAAUUGUGAGAAAAGAGGUGCAUUCUUAACCUAUUGGAGGUUGAUUAGUUUGCUAAGCUUUGAAAAAGAACUAGGUUGGGGGGAGAGAUUAGUUCAAUAGAAAAGUUUGGUGAUUGUAACACCUACAAUUCGAAUUGGAGGAACCAUCCAAAUUUCUCUUGGAAAACCACAGCCACCUCAAUACCAGCAACCUGCUUAAGCACUUCCACAAGCCUCGAACCUUGAACAAGCUAUGGUGAAUAUUAGCAAGGUCAUGGGAGACUUUGUUAGAGCUCAGAAAUCCAUCAAUGCUUAGCUCAGUCAAAGAAUUGACAGUGUAGAGAGUUCAUUAAAUAAAAUGAUGGAUGGAGUGCAAAAUGAUCUAUCUCAGAAGAUAGAUAAUCUCCAAUAUUCAAUCUCAAGGUUUGCCAACCUCAACAAAGUGCAAGAGAAAGGAAACUUUUCUUCUCAACCUUAUCAAAACUCCAAGGGUAUCCAUGAAGUGGAGGCUCAAAAGGGAGAAUCUUCAAUGGUGAAGGAAGUUAAAACGGUUAUCACUUUGAGGAGUGGUAAAGAGGUUGAUCUGCUCACAUCCAAGCUAGAGCAUAAGGUAGAGAGUGAAGCAGAGAAAGAAAAGAGGGAGGAAAUCAAAGGAAAGAACAAGGGGAAAAGCAUAGAGAAAGAUGACUACAUAGAUGAAGAACCACAGAGGAUAGUCAUCAAAGAAGAAAUGAUGAAGAAACACAUGUCUCCUCCCUUCCCCCAAACUUUGUAUGGCAAAAUCAUACAGAGCAAGUCUCAAGUGAGAGAUGCAAACUUCAUAUGGGAUCCGGGCAAGCUGAAUCAGGAUCAAAAUUUUUUAUGGACUUAGUCUUUUUAAAGACUAACUAGUCCAUAUCUUUUUGUUUUAUUUUAUUACUUGUUUUAAUUUUGAUUUCAAUGCUUUAAUUUUAAUUUUUUUUUAUGUAACAUAGGUUUUUGAAUGAUCUAAUUUAGAAGGAAUUGCAAAAGAAGUGAAGGAAGGUCUCAGGGAACCAAAAGGAACUCAUAAGCAAGAAAUUUCAGUGGUCUACGAAAUUUCGCAGCCUAAAAUAGCCCCCUACGAAAAUGGCCAUCCUCUGCGAAAUAAUUUCACAGCCACAAGGUGUCCGUUGCGAAAUCAAGGGUUGGCUGCGAAAUGGGCCAUCCGCUGCAAAACCAUUUCACAGCCUCAUAACCACCCCCUACGAAAAUUUUCGCAACUGCGAAACACCCCUUUGGCACACGAGUGCCAUUUCACGGCUGCGAAAUCACCAAGGCCUUCAAAAACUCAAUUUCGCAGCCCAAGACUCAUUUUGCAACUGCGAAACCCCUUGCAAAACACCCUUUUGGCACAGAGUGCCAUUUCGCAGCCCAUGCCCCCAUUUCGCAGCUGCGAAAAUGGCCUUUGGCUGCGAAAUCACCUUUGGGCUUCGAAAUGGCUGCGAAAUCACCUCCAAGCUGUGAAAUAACCUUCAGGCUGUGAAAUUGACUUGCGAAAUGGAGGGAGGUUUGCGAAAACACUUUGCGAAGCCAAGGGAAGUUGUGAAAAUGCCAACAGAGCCCCGCGACCAUGCAUCUGAAGAGGAGAAACCUGCGCACCCUGAGAUCACACACACAAAGCCUCUCACUCCAUUUCUAACCUCCCUAAAACCAUCAAAGCCCAUAGCUCCAGCUGAGAAGACUAUGACACCUAAGGAGACUACCAAAGCAGAGGUCAAAGUCCUGAUCCAACCCACUCAAGAGGCCACCACAGAUGCAUCAGCUCCAAAGGACCCUACCAUUACUUGAUCUUCUCUUUACUUUUUCUCUUUACAUAUUAUAUUAGUAUACAUAGUUCCAUGUUUGAUGUCUUAUAUUCUGGGAUUGGAGAUAUCCAUUGAUCAUAUCUUAUAUUCAACUUUCUCAUAUUAAUAUAUAGACAUCAUUUUUUGUUUAAACUUGACAUUUUUCUAUUUCCUCUACUCACUAACUCUUUUGUUUUUUUUUGGAAACAUGUGGUUACUCCUAUACGACUCAGACUCCAUGUCACUCAGGAAGUACUACUUCCUCCCUAUUUUUCAAUCGCUUUUGUCACAUUGAAAACAAUGUUCAGCUUGGUUGGGAGAAGAGUUGAGGAAGGAAGUCUUGUUAUUAAUGCUGAGUUAUUUUGGUAAUUUAGUUGUUUUUUUAAAAAAAAAAAAAAUUUGAAGUUUUAUUCUACUCUUCAUGGUUAUUAAGGAAAAAUUCUCGAAAUGAAAAUGGAGAAAUUGAAUUUUUGUCUUUUAACUUGACUUAGAGUUUGUAUUAUGCUUACUAAAGUUAAUGAAUUAAUGAAACUUCUAUUGAAUUCAACCUUAGUUCUUCCACUUUAAGCUAUUCACACACUGUGCACAAUAGGUUCCGAUUAUAAGAUGAAAAACUAUUUCCCUCUUGACUUAGGAAAAUUUAGACUUGGUACCUUUGACCUCAUUUAAUAGUGUUGGGACACCUUAUAAAAGGCCAAUGAGCUUUUGAAAAAAAGAAAAAAAGAAAAAUGUUUGCUUGCCUUGAAACCCGAGCAAGGUCUUAGGGGUAUAUGGUGAAAAUCUUUAAAACCUGGUGCCCUAAGCCUUCAUUGGUUGGGAGUCACCGACCUCAAUGCUCGUUACAAGGGUGAAAAGGUAGAGUUUAACAUAUUGUAGGUGCUUGGGUAUUAAAAUUCAUUCUCAAAAGUCUGGUGUAGACCCUCAAUUUUGUCCCUCGACACUGACAUUUAUCCUUUGGGUGUCACCUACACCCAUUGUUCUCAUAUGGCACCACUAGGGCCCUUUUUGGGCUUAGUCGGUGUCUGAGCCUCGUGUGGGCUUGUCUAUGGUCCAUUGUGGUGCGUAUGUGGUUCAUUUUGGAGGGUCAUCAUGGCCAUUUUCCUAGUCGUUCACAUCACCCUAUAGGAAGGAAGUGGGGUCAUCCCGAUGUUUUAGCUUAGUUGGUGUUUAUAGGGGCAUGUUGAAGUUCGGAGCACUCGGGCUUGUUUUGAUCAUAUCUCCCUUUUCCGAACUUGGAAUUGUGCACCAUUUUUUUUAAUGGAUUCCUCACUCUUCCAGGAAUAUUGUUUCAAAUUUUCAAAUUUUUUUACAACCGGUUCGACCAGUUGGCAUCCGGUUCAUCGAGUCAGCCGAUGUAAAACAUUGAUUUUGGUAAUUUUGGGACCCAAAUCCUACAUGGCUCAGACCCAUAAGCUCCAGAUCGGUUUUGGGCAAUGUUUUGGGCCUUGGUUUGGGUUCCUUGUAGCCCACCACGAAUCCAUAUGGAUUCUUGGUGGUGAAGCAAGCUGAAAAAUGAAGGGAGUGAGCUGGCCUCGUAAGUGCAAGAGAAAUAAUGGGGGUGUGUUUUCCAUGCUGAUGGAGGGGAUUUUGGUGCUAAAGGGGAAGGAACCCAGGAGGCUCAAAUGCUGAGAGGUGUAUGAGUAUAAAAGGAAAAAAAAAAAAAAAAAAAAAAAAAAGAGGCACUUGGGAGAGGGGAUAUUCUGCGGGAAAGAAAAACAGAAGGUCAGGGCACCUUCUGAGUUAAGCGCGUGGGGGAAAGCUUUAGCACUGUGGUUAUUUUGAAGUGGAGAGCUACAGAAUCUCAUUUUUUGGAGGUCAUCCUCGGCAUACACGGAUCAUAUCUGGUGGAGAUUCUGAGGUAAGUAGGCUGAAUUUUUUUACUCGCGGUUUAUCUUCAUUUUCUUCAUAUGCGUUUUCUCCUUCCGCAUCAUCUUUUAUUUCCUUUGAUAUGAAGAUUGUAUUGCUUGGGUGUGGGUAAUAAAGGCCACACAUGAUUGUUGUUGAUUGGUUAUGAAUGGUUUAGAAACUUUCUGACCAAAUUUAGGAUUUUUCAUCAACUGUCUGAACCGGUUGGGAACCGGUUCAGCGCCAUAACUGGCAGCCUCUGUCAGCCAUGAGGAACCCCUGACCUUUCUUUGUCCGAUUCUCACUCAUCCGAGCUCAAAAUUGAGAACCGUUUCUUUUGUUUAUUUCCUUAUUCAGUUAGAAACUUCUUGGCCAAAUUUAGGAUUUUUUAUCAACCGUCUGAACCGGCUGGGAAUCGGUUCAACCGGUUCAGCAGCAUAGUUGGCUGCUGAUUACUACUCAAAAAGUGCUAUUUGAUAGCUUGUAAUUAACUCUUUUAAACACUUUUGAGUAGUAGUUAUUGCCUUUUAAUCCAAUUAACAUGUUAAGGACCCUUGCAAUCAAUUCUAAUCAAAUUGUGUUAAGUUUUGGUGUUUUGAUAGCUUUUUUAUCACCAAAGCAAUCCGAGAUUGAGGAGAGUUAUUUGGAAUCUAUGGCAAAGCAAUGAAAAGCUCAGAAACAUGAAGAACCAAAGCUUUGAAGUCCUUUGCCAUUAGCAAAUCCGGAAUGGAAGGAGGGGAAGCAAAGAGAAAUCUGCCAUGAAGCAUUUUUUAUGACAGUCAUGUCAGCCACUUUUGGAGCACCUCGUGAAGUCCAAUUUAUGCAUGCUAUAUGUCGUUUCGAAGCUCAGGAAGUCAACAAUCCAAUGCUUCAAACGGUGAGCAAUUCGGAGUUGAAAUGAAGGAGUUACAGCCAUUGGAAGCCGAUCACUCCAAGCUGAAGGAAGAAUUUUGCACGGCUGCGAAAUCACCCUUUUGCUGCGAAAUGAUUUCUCAGCCAUUUUGCACAGUGCAACGAAAUUUCUCCUGAAGUUUCCCGAUAUUUGCGACCGACACUUUUGGAUAUUUUGCUUCAGAUUUUUGAUGUUUAAAUCCCCAUUUUCUUCUUAUAACCCACCAAUUAUAGGAUUCCUUAGUUAUUAAGUUUGGAAAAGGGGUGAAUAACCUCAGAUAUUUUGUUUUGUAAUUUUCUUUAUAUAUAGCUCUCGGGAGCCUAUUCUCAAGAGGAGGACGACGCAUCCUUUGUACAGUUUUGCAAGGAAGUAAAAUAUAGAGCCUUUGCUCUGCCUUACCUUCUCGUUUUGAUUGUAUUGUAUAUUAUUUACUUUUUAUUUCUAGCCAACCAAACUCUGAGGAUUUUUCCUCAAAGGAUGAGAGGCUAGGCUCUUUGUCUCUUGGAGUGAAGAAAGCUGGGUAAGUUUCCACAUGCAUAAAUUGGAAGUUUUGUUGUUUUAGUUUUUAAUGAAGAGAAAGUGUGACCCGUUAAUGGUUUUUAUCUUUUUAGUUAACUUAAAACACCUUUAAAUCACCUGGGUCAACACUUGGUAAGGAAAGUGAUCUCUGUCCAUGGAGAUGCACUAGUUUACCCCUUGCGAGCCUUUGGGAGGUGGUUUGAAGGUAGGAUUUUUUAGAAUAGCCAACACUUGGUAAGCUUUUCAACUCCAAGGAGACAUCCAUUAGUUAUCUCUUGUGAGCUUUUGAUGGGUAAUCCAAGGUUAAAGAUCAUCUUGAAUGGCAAGUGCUAGGUGAGAGGUAUGAGCCAUUGCAAGGUGCAUCAGUGAGAGGGAUUUAGUGUUUGAACCCAUUAAUGGGAAGCAUCUGUACAGCACCGGUUAGAGAAUUAACUAUAUGUUAAUUCUCUAAUGCGAGGAAAAGAAACAAGUGACCGGAACUCUCCUUUUUGUAUGAGGAACCUGAGCCUAGUGAUCUGAACUCCAAGAAACACUUUUCUUUGUAAGUAAAAUCAGUUACUAUUUUUUAUUAGUUUAAAACCAAACCUUUUUCAUUCAAACAUCUUUAUGUUUUCUUUUAAAGCUAACCUUGAAAUGAAAAGGCACCAAUUCAACUUUGAAUUAAUAUCAUUUGUGAAGUGAAAACCCAUCCCAGUGAACGAUCCUAGAGCCACUAUGCUAUAGUAGCUUUGUCUUUGCUACCCUAGUACAUGGUGUAAUAGGUUAUAAAUUUUUUUGAUUACUCCCUCAAUCAAGGAGCACCGGCUGGACAUGAAUCAGUUGAGACACCAAUUGGGCACGAAUCAGCUGCCUCUGUCAGCCAUGAGGAACCCCUGACCUUUCUUUGUCUGGUUCUCACUCAUCCGGGUUCAGAAUUGAGAACCGUUUCUUUUUUUUAUUUCCUUAUUCAGUUAGAAACUCCCUGGCCAAAUUUGGGAUUUUUCAUCAACCGUCUGAACCGGUUGGGAACCGGUUCAGCACCAUAGCUGGCUGCCUCUGUCAACCAUAAGGAACCCCUGACCUUUCUUUGUCCGGUUCUCACUCAUCCGGGCUCGGAAUUGAGAACCGUUUCUUUUGUUUAUUUCCUUAUUCAGUUAGAAACUUCCUGGCCAAAUUUGGGAUUUUUUUAUCAGCCAUCUGAACUGGUUGGGAACUGGUUCAACCGGUUCAGCACCAUAGCUUGUUGCCUCUGUCAGCCAUGAGGAACCCCUGACCUUUCUUUGUCUGGUUCUCACUCAUCCGGGUUUGGAAUUGAGAACCAUUUCACCAGUAUACUUACAACAUGUGCCACCUAUGACACCCUUCAUUAUGUUCCUAGAGGAAUAUAGGCCCCCUCACAGAGAUGUUCAGAUAGUUACACGGAGUGGAAGGGUAGCACAACCUCCACCCGUUGACAGGCCAUUUGCUGGUAUAGCUGCCAAAGAGGAGGUUCAAAGGGAAGAUGAUGAGAUAUUAUGCCAGCUGCGCACUACUCAAGCUCGCAUAUCUAUUUGGAGCCUUUUGGCCUCAUCUAGUACACACAGAGAUGCAUUGGUCAGAGCUCUUGGCCAGAUUAGGGUUGACACUGCUACUACCCCAGAGGGGCUUAUUCACAUGUUGACAGNNNNNNNNNNNNNNNNNNNNNNNNNNNNNNNNNNNNNNNNNNNNNNNNNNNNNNNNNNNNNNNNNNNNNNNNNNNNNNNNNNNNNNNNNNNNNNNNNNNNGCCACCAGAGGGAUCAAAUCAUGUUCGACCCUUAUUCAUUGAUGUUGUUUGUUCAGGCCAUCGGGUGCCGUCUGUUCUGCUGGACAAUGGUUCUGCCCUGAACGUCUGUCCAUUGGUUACUGCUAUUGCACUUGGGUUUUCGCCAGUCGAUUUUAGGGCUUCUACAUAGACUGUUAGAGCUUAUGAUGGGACUCAGAGGACAGUUAUGGGUACACUUAGUACACAUGUCAUGAUUGGGCCAGUUAGUUACUCCAUAGUAUUUCAGGUUUUAAGGAUUCAGUCAUCCUUUAACCUGCUUCUUGGUCGCCCAUGGAUUCAUGAAGCUGGUGCUAUACCAUCUUCCCUUCAUCAGAAGGUGAAGUUCAUACACGAGGGGUGCAUUAUCACGAUACAGUCUGAUAGAGAUAUUAUCACUUCGUCUGAGCCAGUGUUACAUAUCAGUCAUAGUGAGAAUAACUUACAUUUGACCGGGUUUACGUUCAAUGAUGUUCAGGUUGUCAGCUUAGAGGAUGGUAGUAGAGAUAUGGUACCUAUGUCGUUCGACCAGCACAACAGCACUUUGGUGCUCAGCAUGAUGAGAGGCAUGUCUUAUUUGCCUGGCAUGGGAUUGGGUCGCCGCCAAUAGGGGCCCCACGAGUUUACUUUCGCAGUUGAUCACAACACACCCUAUGGAUUAGGUUACAUCCCCACAGAGGCUGAUGCACGUUAUAUGGCACGGCUGCGCAGGGAUAGAGUGGGGGUUCGAAUGACUGGCAUUCCAUUUUAUUAUCCCCUCCUCCCAUACACCUUCUAGUUGGCUGACUACUUCAUCAGGGGUUCAGAGCAUACACCCCGCACAUAGGGGACUGUUCGCACUCCAGAGACAGUUGAGAUUCAGGACAUCCAGCAAGCCUUGGGUCAGAUGCAUUUGGACACCGGGACUACUGAGACACCUGGUGCCAUGAUAGUUGUGCCCCCAUCACCAGACCGAGCUAGUGUGUUCUCUAUGUGUUUCCCCGAGGAGGUCCAUAACUAUGACCUACUUAUGGAUUUGGGAGAUGACAUUGACGAGAUGGACAUGAUCGGCAUCGGCCGUAUCUUCGAUGCAGCCCCACGCGGGCCCCAUACUACUUUCAAUAUGUUCAGAGUUUCUGUACUUGAGAUUGAUGAGGAUGACUCUAUUCCUGAUGCCUACACUGAUGAUAUGGAUUUUGUAGGCAUUGGUCAUAUCCUUGAUGUAGCCCCACGCGGGCCCCAUUCUACUUUUGACAUAUUUGGAGUUUUCGUACUUGAUGAUGAGUUAGUCCUUGAUGUCAUUACUUCUGAUUUUACUUCUGUUGAGGGAGCGUCCGACUCUAUGGACCCGCCUCUUUCUUCUGACACAAUGUCCAGGUUUGUCACCCGCUUUGAUGAUAUUUCUGAUGAUAAUAAUGAUAUGAGUAUUUUCGAGUACUUGACUAUGUCACAACAUUUUCCUUUGAUUGCACCACCAGCACCCACGACACAUAUAUAUGAUGCUGAUGAUGUGGGAGAUACGGAUUACCCACUAGGUGGUCAGUCAGAGUGUGAUUCUGACACAGAGGACGAGAAAGUCACACCUAUUUCUGGUAGCACAGAGUUGAUAGAUUUUGGGGCACCAAAUAAGCCCAUGGAGAUUAGGAUUGGCUCUUCUCUAUCUCUUGAUGAGAGGAGUAAGUUGAUUGACCUGCUCAGGUCAUACUUGGAUGUAUUUGCAUGGUUAUAUGAGGACAUGCCGAGCCUUGACCCCUCUAUAGUACAACAUCACCUACCCAUUUUACCACAUGCUAGGCCCAUUAAGCAGAAAUUGAGGAGACUACACCCUCGAUGGAGUUUGCAGGUUAAGGAAGAAAUUUGGAAGCAACUCAGUGUUGGCUUCUUGUCAGUGGUUGAGUAUCCUGAGUGGCUGGCUAAUGUCAUCCAUGUUCCUAAAAAGGACGGCAAGGUUAGGGUUUGUGUUGACUUUCGAGAUCUGAAUAAGACCAGCCCUAAGGAUGAUUUUCCCCUCCCACACAUUGAUAUGCUGGUUGAUAGCACUACAGGACAUCCGAUUUUGUCCUUCAUGGAUGGCUUUUCUGGGUAUAAUCAGAUUAUGAUGUCUCCAAAGGAUAUGGAAAAGACUUCUUUCAUUACUAAGUGGGGUACUUACUGCUACCGGGUUAUGCCAUUUGGGUUGAAGAAUGGAGGAGCCACUGAGCUGCUACUACUCUGUUCCAUGAUAUGAUGCACACAGAUGUUGAGGUAUAUGUGGAUGACAUGAUAGUGAAGUCCCGAGACAGGACAGAUCACUUAGCAGCCUUACAAAGGUUCUUUGAGAGGAUCAGACAGUUCAGGCUGAGAUUGAAUCCCAAGAAGUGCACUUUUGGGGUGGCUUCUGGAAAAUUGCUCAGACACAUUGCUAAUGAGCAAGGUAUAGAGAUUGAUCCAGAGAAAAUCAGAGCCAUACUUGACAUGCCUACCCCGAGGACUGAGAAAGAGAUCAGGGGAUUCCUAGGCAGAUUACAGUACAUCAGUCGUUUCAUUGCUAGACUGACAGACAUUUGUGAGCCUAUCUUCCGCCUUCUGAGGAAGAAUCAGCCUACAGUUUGGAGUGAUGAUUGUCAGCGCACUUUUGAGAGGAUUAAGGAGUGUCUCCUUUCUCCUCCGGUUUUAGUGCCUCCCACACCGGGGCGUCAUUUGCUUCUGUACUUAUUAGUUUCAGACAUGGCCUUAAGAUGCAUGUUAGCUCAGCUUGAUGAUUUGGGGAAGGAGCAUGCCAUCUAUUAUUUGAGUAAGAGGAUGCUUGAGUAUGAGUGCAAGUACAUUAUGAUUGAGCGCCUUUGCUUGGCAUUGGUUUGGGCCACUAGGAGACUUAGACAUUACAUGACAGAGUAUUCCGUGCUCUUCGUCUCACGAUUGGACCCGUUGAGGUAUCUAUUUGGCAGGCCUGUUUUGACCGGUAGGCUCAUGAGAUGGUUGGUAUUGUUGACAGAGUUUGAUAUUCAUUAUGUCACACAGAAGUCAGUAAAAGGAAGCAUUGUUGCAGAUCAUCUAGCUUCUUUGCUGAUAUCCGAUGACAGAUCGGUUGAUGAUGAUUUCCCUGAUCAGCAGAUCGUUUCAAUGACUAGUAUUACGGGAUGGUGGUUGUACUUUGAUGGUGCCGCCAAUUAGUCGGGGUUUGGCAUUGGUAUCUUGUUAAUAUCAGCACAUGGUGAUCAUAUCCCCAGAUCAGUCUGGUUAGCAUUUUCCGAUCAUCACCGGUUGACAAAUAAUAUUGUGGAGUAUGAGGCUUGCAUUACAGGUUUGGAGACUGCACUUGAUCUUGGCAUUAGACAGUUGGAGAUCCACGAGGAUUCCAAUUUGGUUAUACAGCAAACUCAGGGUAUCUGGAGGACUCGGGAUGAGAAGCUAAAACCCUACCAUGCUUACUUGGACCUGUUGAUUGAUGGAUUUUAUGUGUUAAGGUAUAUAUAUCUGCCUAGGGCGGAGAAUCAGUUUAUCAAUGCAUUAGCCACCUUGGCUUCUAUGAUUGUGAUCCCCGCGGGGGUGACUGUUAGGCCAUUGCUGGUUGAAACAAGGUCUGCACCAGCUUACUAUUAUCUGAUUGGAGAGAUAGAGGAUCAGGUUGAGUUGCCAUGGUAUCACGAUAUUUAUCAGUUUCUGUCAUGCGACACUUACCUAGAGUCAACCUCGGCCAAGGAUAGGAGAGCAUUGAGACAGUUGGCCACCAGAUUUGUUAUUUGCGGGGAUGCACUGUAUAGGAGAUCACAUGAUGGCCUGUUAUUAUUAUGUCUAGACUGUACAUCUGCAGAUCGAGUGAUGAGAGAGGUUCAUGCAGGGGUCUGUGGCCCACACAUGGGAGGUCAUAUGCUAGCGUGUAAAGUCAUGAGGGCUGGCUACUUUUGGUUGACCAUGGAGACAAAUUGUUGCUAGUUUGUACAGAGAUGUCAGGAGUGUCAGAUGCAUGGAGACUUGAUACACGUGCCACCUUCUGAGUUGCAUGCACUGACAUCCCCUUGGCCAUUUUCAAUAUGGGGUGUUGAUAUUAUUGGGAAGAUCUCGCCCAAGUCCUCCAGUGGUCAUGAGUACAUCUUAGUAGCCAUUGACUAUUUCACCAAGUGGGUGGAAACUGCUUCCUAUGCUAGAUUGACAGUGGCUAGGGUGGCCAAAUUCAUCAGAUCGCACAUUAUCUGUCGAUACGAGGUCCCUCAUGAGCUGAUUUUUUAUAAAGGGGUGCAUUUCAGGGGUGAGGUGGACACGUUGAUUCAGGAGUAUGGCAUUCAGCAUCACAGAUCGUUUGCGUACAAGCCGCAAACUAACGGGGCAGUUGAGGCUGCAAAUAAGAAUAUCAAGAGGAUUUUGAGAAAUAUGGUCAAGACUUCUCGGGAUUGGUCAGAAAAGCUCCCUUUCGCAUUGUGGGCUUAUCGUACAUCUUUUCGUACCUCUAUUGGAGCUACCCCAUAUUCUUUGGUGUAUUGUAUGGAGGCAGUGUUACCUGUUGAGAUUGAGAUGAGAUCUUUAAGAGUAGCACUAGAGCAACAUGUAUCUGAGGCCGAGUGGGUCCAGUCUCGUUACGAUCAGCUUAGCCUGUUGGAUGAGAAGAGAUUGAGGGCAGCAGAUCAUGCUCAGGCCUAUCAGAGAAAGAUGACCCAUGCAUUCAGAAAGAGGGUUAGGCUUAGGAAAUUCCAAAGAGGUGACCUAGUCUUGAAAGUCCUUCGGGGAUUGAUCAGCGACCCUAGAGGCAAGUUUAGACCGAGUUGGAGCGGGCCUUAUGUCAUCCGAGAUUUGACUCGAGAGGGAGCUGCCUGGUUGACAGACCUAGACGGAAAUUAGUUCACAGAGCCAGUCAAUGUGGAUCAGCUGAAGAAGUUUUAUGUGUGAGAUCAUGGUCAGAGGAUGGGUGGCCGUCACUUCGAGUAGCCAUAUUCCCUAUUGCAUACCCAUACAUCGAUAUACCCUAUUGCUAGCUCUUUGAGCCUCAUGUGGUUUGUUAUGACCCUUUCUUUCAUUCAGCCUUGCAUACAUUUUUUGACCUAGGUUGGGGGCUUGCCCCUGUGCGCUUUGUAUUUAUUGAUUAGAUCUGUGAGCAUUGGGAGCAUUGUGUUAUUCUUCGUUUGUUCUUUUUUGCAUCAUUGCUUGUUUCUUUUCUUCUCCAUUUUGCAUCUUCACACCGUAUUCAUUUCGCUUCUGUUUUCCUUUGUGUGAUGGUGACGCGCUCUCGUCUCAAGGCUACAAGUGAGGCUUGUCACAUCUUUCAUUCCACAUUUAGGUUUUGAUCCAAGAGUUUUUGUUUGAGGAGAUUUGAGAUUCUUUUGGUUGGACUAUGCUAGUGGGGUAUUCGGCCUACUUUGAAAAAAAAAUGAAUGAAAAAAAAGAAAGAAAAAAAUUGAAAAAGAAAAAAUAAAAUAAAAAAUGAAAAAAGAAAAAAUUGUGCUUGUUUGGUAUUCGUUGAUAUACUUGGGAUCAUCAGAGGUGGUUUUGGGUUUGAAGGAUUUCUUUUUCCUUUAAGAGUCGGGUGAGAGCAUUGAACGAUCCUUCUCACCAUGGAUUUGGGUGACACAUUGGGAGUGAGGUUUGGGUUUCCUUUGCACUAGGUUUCUUGGAUCAUUAUCUACAUCACCAUUCCCAUCAUAUAGUGACUUGCUUUGAUUUUCCGUUCUUAAGAUGAGUUGUUCGUCAUUGUCACACAUUGCUACACUUAUUUCCCAGCUUGUUUCUCCAUUUCCUAUACCUCCAUUCAUUGUUUGUCUCAUCCCUCUUCAUCUUCAACUACCCUCACCGAUCGUCGUCUCCCUUCAUGAACGAUGAGUUCUUUGGUGCAUGUCACCUAUUGUUUGAUUUUUUAUUUAUUUAUUUAGAUACAUGGUUGAGUCACCUCACUCACAUGGUUCUGCGAUAUUUGACAUUGCGCACACAGGGGUUUGGCACUAUCUCUUUAGAGAUUUGGGCCUUUGUUUCCCAUUAUUUCAUUCACAUUUUACCCUCGGCCUACAUUACAGUCCGAGUCGUAAGACCACCCUGAGGCCAUGAGGUCUCGUGUUUUCUUCGAUGCGGUUCAUUCGGACAGGCUUCGUCUACUGAUUGAGUAUGGGAUGUUGACAGGUCUCCAUUACUUCGGGGGAUAUUGAGGGUCACAUAUUGUCUUUCCAUUCAGUUUACUUGCCUCAGGCCCGUGAUCAGAGACAGAUGAUACAGACAGUUGGGACCAUUGAGGGCACCUUUACUCGAUGUUUUGACAUGUUUAUACUAGGGCAUGCCCCCAUCCUUGCAUGUUGGCUGUGGUUUUUGUACAUGUACGCAGGCAUUCCGUUUCACCUAGCGAUGUUAUGGGCAUCAGAGUUUGAGUAAGCCCCGCAUUCAGCUUAGUUUCUUCAUACAACAGAGUGCUUCUAGGAUCUGACUCGAGAUCAAAUUCACGGUAUUCAUCGACCCAGUAGGGGUGCAUACCCCAUUCAUUGGCUUGUUCAUUAAGUUCAAACGAGUGGGUCUUCAGUGAUGUGUUUCAGAGUUUUCAUUGAGAUAUUUGAGUUUCAGAUGUACACACUAGGGCAUACCCCCUAUCAGUUUUUGUGGAUAUUGAAUGUUAUGGGUUAGAGUUGAGGGUUUUUUUCUUCAAGGAUGGAUGUUUGUGAUAUUUUCAGCUCUCUGAGUUUAACCAUAUGUGUGGUUAUGGGAUUCUGACAUGAUAUUGAUACCUUAGACUGGGGUAUAACUCCUUCUUGUCACCUUUGGUCACAUUUGCAUGUUGUUCUGCAGGGGCAUACCCCUUGCUUUCCAUCUGUUAAUGGUGAUUGUUUUUUUCUCUUGUCAUUUGUCAUCAUUUUCUAGGGCUACACUGGGGCAUACCCCUUUCUUUUGUCAUGAUGGAGGUGUUUGAUUUUUGACCUCUUCCAAUCAUUUGUUGGCGAUCCUGAGAGUCAUAUUGGGGCAUACCCCUUUGUCAUCAAGGUUAGUACAUCGGCGGUUGCAUCUUGAGUCUCUCCAUUAUGCUCUGAGUUUUGUUUUAAGGCAUCUCCUGUCUGUUUAGGCGUCUAGAGCCUUAGUCUUUGCAUCCUUACUCCUUUUAGUUUUAUGGUUCCUCGGCAUCGUGCCCGAGUUCGAUCCCCUUCUCCUGUACUCGCCCGGAUUCUACCAUUUUCCGGUACUCGCCCGGACCCUUCUUCGGUACUUGCCCGAAUUCCGCCAUUUUUCGGUACUCGCCUGAACCCUUCUCCAGUACUUGCCCGGAACCUUCUCUGGUACUUGCACGGACCCUUCUUCGGUACUCGCCAGGACUCUUCUUCGGUACUUGCCCAAAUUCCACCAUUUUUUGGAACUUGCCCGGACCCUUCUCCGGUACUCGCCCGGAACCUUCUCUAGUACUCGCCUGGACCCUUCUCCGGUACUUGCCCGGAGCUUCUUUGGUACUUGCUUGAACCCUUCUCUGGUACUUGCCCGGACCCUUCUUCGGUACUUGCUCGAAUUCCACCAUUCUUCGGUACUUGCCCGAAUUCCGCCAUUUUUCGGUAAUCGCCCGAACCCUUCUCCGGUACUCGCCCAGACCCUUCUUCAGUACUUGCCCAAAUUCCACCAUUUUUCGGUACUUGCCCGAACCCUUUUCCGAUACUCGCCCGAACCCUUUUUCGGUACUUGCCCGAAUUCCACCAUUUUUCGGUACUUGCCCGAACCCUUCUCCAGUACUCGCCUAGACCUUUCUUCGGUACUUGCCCGAAUUCCACCAUUUUUCGGUACUUGCCCGGACCCUUCUCUGGUACUCGCACGAAUUCCACCAUUCUCCGGUACUUGCCAGAAUCGGAUCCCUAAUCAUUCUCGACAUUGUGAUCGGGUCUCCUUGUAUCUUUCUCCGGCAUCGUGCCUGUAUCCCAUAGUUCAUUCUGUCAGCAUGACUUAUUUCCCUCAGCCUCCUUUAUUAUUGGGUGGGGACAAAAUUGUUGGUCAUUUGGGUUCUUCACUAGAGUUCAUUUCACUCUUGCAUUACUUGCACAUCGCACUCACAAUUCACUUGUUCAUUCACUCUACUGAAGAGGGGCAUAUUUGUAGACCCUCAAUUUUGUCCCUCGACACUGACAUUUAUCCUUUGGGUGUCACCUGCACCCAUCGUUCUCAUAUGACACCACUAGGGCCCCUUUUGGGCUUAGUCGGUGUCCGAGCUUCGUGUGGGCUUGUCUAUGGUCCAUUGUGGUGCAUGUUGAGGUUCGGAGCACUCGGGCUUGUUUUGAUCAUAUCUCCCUUUUUCGAACUUGGAAUUGUGCACCAUUUUUUUCAUGGAUUCCUCACUCUUCCAGGAACAUUCUAUCAAAUUUUCAAAAUUUUUUGUAACCAAUUCGACCGGUUGGUCUCUGGUUCAGCCGGUUCAUCGAGUCAGCCGAUGUAAAACACUGAUUUUGGUAAUUUUGGGACCUAAAUCCUACAUGGCUCAGGCCCAUAAGCUCCAGAUCGGUUUUGGGCAAUGUUGUGGGCCCAUUUUGGGCCUUGGUUUGGGUUCCUUGAAGCCUACCACGAAUCCAUAUGGAUUCUUGGUGGUGAAGCAAGCUGAAAACUAAAGGGAGUGAGCUGGCCUCGUAAGUGCAAGAGAAAUAAUGGGGGGUGUGUUUUCCAUGCUGAUGGAGGGGAUUUCGGUGUUAAAGGGGAAGGAACCCAGGAGGCUCAAAUGCUGAGAGGGGUAUGAGUAUAAAAGGGAAAAAAAGAAAAAAAAAAAAAAAAGGCACUUGGGAGAGGGGAUAUUCUACUGGUGAGAAAAACAAAAGGUCAGGGCACCUUCUGAGUUAAAAGCAUGGGGGAAAGCUUCAGCACUGUGGUUAUUUUGAAGUGGAGAGCUACAACAUCUCAUUUUUUAGAGGUCAUCCUUGGCAUACACGGAUCAUAUCUGGGGGAGAUUCUAAGGUAAGUAGGCUGAAUUUUUUUACCCACGGUUUAUCUUCAUUUUCUUCAUAUGCGUUUUCUCCUUCCGCAUCAUCUUUUAUUUCCUUUGAUAUGAAGAUUGUAUUGCUUGGGUGUGGGUAAUAAAGGCCACACAUGAUUGUUGUUGAUUGGUUAUGAAUGGUUUAGAAACUUUCUGACCAAAUUUAGGAUUUUUCAUCAACCGUCUGAACUGGUUGGGAACCGGUUCAACGCCAUAGCUGGCUGCCUCUGUCAGCCAUGAGGAACCCCUGACCUUUCUUUGUCCGGUUCUCACUCAUCCGGGCUCGGAAUUGAGAACCAUUUCUUUUUUUUAUUUCCUUAUUCAGUUAGAAACUUCUUGGCCAAAUUUGGGAUUUUUUUAUCAACCGUCUGAACCGAUUCAACCGGUUCAACACCAUAGCUGGCUGCCUCUGUCAGCCAUGAGGAAUCCCUGACCUUUCUUUGUCUGGUUCUAACUCAUCCGGGUUUGGAAUUGAGAACUGUUUCUUUUGUUUGCUUCCUUAUUCAGUUAGAAACUUCCUGGCCAAAUUUGGGAUUUUUUAUCAACCAUCUGAAGCAGUUGGGAACCGGUUCAACCGGUUCAGCACCAUAGCUGGCUGCCUCUGUCAGCCACGAAGAACCCUUGACCUUUCUUUGUCUAGUUCUCACUCAUCCGGGCUCGGAAUUGAGAACCGUUUCUUUUGUUUGAGUCCUCACUCAUUUAGGAGUUUUCUAGAAAAAUUUGGGAAUUCUUCUCAAUAGGUUGUACCAGUUGAGAACUAGUUCAACCUGUUCUGCUGGAGGACUUUAGGUAGCCCUCGAUUUUGGUAUUUUUCGAGCCCUUAUCCAUUGGGGCUCAAACCCAUUUGCUAUGGGGCACUUGUAAGCCAUCUUGAGGGUUUAAGUCAGUGUUUGAUUUUAGUUAGUAUGGGCAAUUUUAAAGUUAUGGGUGGUGUGGUCUAGAUGAGUCUUGUUCGAUUUGUAUUUGGGGAGUCCCUUACCUCAUUUCAACCAGCUAUCUUCCUUUUUGGCACAAGCUUUGAUGCUUGAUUUUGAAUACAUGUUGCGUGGCUGACUCACCCUCUGCUAUAGCACAUGGCUAGGGACCACAGGUAUGCAUCGUUGGUUUUGAUUGUUGAAUCAUAUGCAUGUAGGGUGCUUCAUCCUAAAUGUUUGUUAUGUGUUUAUCUGUGUUUGGCUGACCUUUUAUGCAGUGCAUGGCUGGGGACCACAGGUACGCACCCAUUGUUUUGGUUGGUUGAAUUCAUAUGCAUGCCAAAUACCAAUUAGGAUUGUGUGAUUCAUGACAUCUAUUUAGCCUAGGGUUUCAUCUUUGACCCAUAUGCUCCCACAUACCCAAUUCAUUAGUAGAGACCGAGUUCCAGGCCUAGAGGGGUGUUACCUCGCAUGAGGUACCUUCCCAAUGGGUAACCUGAUCCUCGGACCCAGAAUCUAGUUUUCGCAGACCACUUUUUCCAUACUAGGGUCAUUAGGGGUUUUGUUCUUACUUAAUUUUCCCCAUUUUAAAAAUAAAAAAAAAAGUAAGUGGAAACUCCAUACAACACCGUUCCUCACCAAGGGCGGGUUUUUCAAAACUGCAAAACUCAACUUUUUCAUUCUUUCUUUUAAUUUAAAAGCAAGUCGCGCCGGUCCGGUGGAUCGGGUGAGAGUCCAUAUCUGGGGUAAAAUCCGAGGAGGUAGUGGUUGAAAAAUCCUUAAAGCUUGAUGCCCUAAACCUUAAUUGGUUGGGAGUCAUCAAUGGACCCCCGUUACAUGGACAAUUUAGAAAAGAAUACCUUUAAGCCUUGUACUCCUUCAAUGAAAAAAAAAAGUGUGAAAUAAAAGAGGUGCGUUCUUAGCCUAUUGGAGGUUGAUCAGUUUGCUAAGCUUUGAAAAAAAACUAGGUUGGUGGGAGAGAUUAGUUCAACAUACUAUAUUCGGAAGCUAAUAAAUAACACUUAGAUUUUUGUGGAAGAGUAAGGUUUGACCCUUUGGGAGUGGAAACUCUUUUAAAGCUUACAUUUGUAUAAUGUCUUCUUUUUAUGAAUUGUGAUUAGACAAGUUAUUUGAUAACUCUUGUUGAAGUUUGAGUUUUAUUUCUUUAAUGUUCCAUGUGAGAGUUAGAUCAUCAUGCCACUUGAAAAUUGUUUUUUGAUCAGCAUGAUGUUGUAAAUUAUAGUACUUUUUAUUUUUCUUUUUCUCUCCAUUGCUAAGGGACUAGCAAUAUGUCGGUUGGGGGGAGUGAUUACUACUAAAAAAGUUUUAUUUUGUAGCGUGUAAUUAACUCUUUUAAACACUUUUGAGUAGUAGUUAUUACCUUUUAACUCGAUUGGCAUAUUAAGGACCCUUGCAAUCGUUUCUAAUCAAAUUGUGUUAAGUUUUGGUGUUUUUGAUAGCUUUUUGAUCGCCAAAGCAAUCUAAGAUGAGGGAGAGCUUUAUAUAAUCCAUGGAAAAGCAAAUGGAAGCUCAUUUACAUGAAGAAUCCAAGCUUUGGAGCUUCAUAGUUCUUUGCCAAAGCCAAUCAAGAAUUCCAAGGAGGAAAAACAGAGGAAUCUAACAUGAAGAAUUCAAGAUGACAACAACUGUUGGAUGCAUUUUGAGUACUUCCUGGAGUUCAUUUUAUGCAUACUAUAUGUUGUUUUGAAGCUCGGGAAGUUAGGAGUCCAACGCUUCAAAUGGUGUACGAAUUGGAGUUGAAACGAAGAAGUUAUGGCCAUUUGAAGACAACUGCAUCAAGCUGUGGGAAAAUUCCGUAGCUGCGAAAUCAACCUUCCCUUGCAAAAGCCACCUGUGCAAUCUCAGAUAUUUGCCACUGACUAAGUGAGAUUUUUUGUCAAGAUAUUUUGUGUAAAUUUAUAUUUUCUCCUUGUAAUAAGCUAAGGAUAUUAUUGGGAUAUUUCUUAGAAAAUAUCUUCUAUAUAUAUCUCUGAACCAAUAUGAUAGAUAAUAGAUCCGAUAUAUGUAAUCCGACGAGAGGAGGAUCGUAAGUAUGAAAUAUAUCUACAGAGCACUUGCUCUGCUUUUCCUUCAUAUUUUUGUUUUCUUGUUAUUUUUAUUUCUAGCAAAUCAAACUUAGAGGAUGUUUCCUCAGAGGAUGAAUGGCUAGGCUUUUUGUCUCUUGGAGUGAAGAAAGCCGGGUAAGUUUCCAAAUGCAAAAAUUGGAAGUUUUGUUUUUUCAACUUUUAAUUAGGAGAAAGUGUGACCCGUUAAUGGUUUCUAUGCUUUUAGUUAACUUAAAACACCUUUAAAUCACAUGCGCUAACACUUGGUAAGGCAAGUGAUCUCCAUCCAUUGAGAUGCACCAGUUUAUCUCUUGCGAGCCUUUGGGAGGUUGUUUAAAGGUAGGAUUUUCUAGAAUAGCCAACACUUGGUAAGCUUUUGGACUCCAAGGAGACAUCCAUUAGUUAUCUCUUGCGAGCUUUUGACGGGUAAUCCAAGGCUAAAGAUCACCUUGAAUAGCAAAUGCUAGGUGAGAGGUAUGAGCCAUUGCAAGAUGCAUUAGUGACAGGGAUUUAGUGUUUGAACCCAUUAAGGGGAAGCAUUUGUACCACACUGGUUCAGGAAAUAACUAUAUGUUAAAUCCCCAACGCGAGAAAAAGAUUCAAGUGACCAGAACUCCCUUUUUGUAUAAGGAACCUAAGCCUAGUGAUCUGAAACUCCAAGAAAAACUUUUCUUUGUAAUUAAAAUCAGUUACUAUUUUUGGUUAGCUUAAAACCAAACUUUUCAAACAUCUUUAUGUUUUCUUUUAAAGCUCACCUUGAAAUGAAAAAAAACCAAUUCAUCUUUGAAUUAAUAUCAAUUGUGAAGUGAAAACCCAUCCCAGUGAACGACCCUAGAGCCACUAUGCUAUGCUAGUUGAGGUUAUCCUAGUACAUGGUGUAAUAGGUUAUAAAUUUUGUUGAUUACUCCCGUCUAAGGAUCAGAAUCAAGGUACACCAGCUGGGUACAAAUCAACAACCUUAAGCUAUGUAUAGCAUCUAGAUCCCUAUGCUCAUGACUCAAAGUCAUUCACAUCAACCACAACCCUGAGUUGUUCAUAAAAUCUAGAGGCCUAAGCUCAUGACCUGAAGUCAUUCAUGUUAUCCACAACCCUGAGUUGUUAACAACAUCUAAAGCUCUAAGCACGUGACCCGUAGUCAUUCAUGUCAUUCAUAACACUGAGGAGUUCAUAGAAUCUAAGAACUUGAGCUCAUGAUACAGAAUCAUUCAAAUCAUCCAUAACACUUAGUGCUUCAUAGCAUCUAAAGGCUUGAGCUCGCGGGAUCACGACUCGAUCAUAUCAUCCACAACUCUCAGUUGUUAAUAGCAUUUGGAGCCUUGAGCUCACAAUCCGAAGUCGUUCAUGUCAACCAUAGCCUUGUGAUGUUUAGAGCAUCUAGAGCCUUGAGCUAUCAACCUAGAGUAUUUCAUGUUAUCGAAAGCCCAUACUUGUGUAUAGAAUCUAGAUCCCUAAUCUCACGACCCGGAGUCUUUCAUGUCAUCGACAUCCUUAAUUUAUGUAAAACAUUUAGAGCCUAAAGCUCAUAAGCCGAAGUCACUCAUGUCAACCACAUCCCUUAGUUGUUCAUCGAAUCUAAAGGUCUAAGCUCCUCAUGAACUAAAGUCAUUAAUGUCAUUCAAAACCAUGAGUUGUUAAUAGCAUCUAGAGCCCUAAGCUCCCUGCCCGAAGUUGUUCAUGUCAUCCACAACCCUGGAUUUUUCUCUUCAUACUAUCUAGAGGCCUGAGCUCAUGACCCAGAGUUGUUCUUGUCAUCUGUAACCCUGAAUUAUUCAUAAGAUUAAGAACCCUGAGCUCACUACCCGGAGUUGUUCAUGUCAUCCCCAGUCCUAAUUUUUUCAUAGGAUCUUGAGCCUUAAGCUCACGACCCAUAGUCGUUCAUGUCAAUCACAACCCUAAGCUAUUCGUUGCAUGUAAAGCAUUGCACUCACGUCCUAAAGUCUUUCAUGUCAACAACAACCUUGAGUUGUUCAUAGGAUCUAAGGACUUGAGCUCAUAACCCAGAGUUGUUCAUGUAUUCAUAGCCUUGAGUUGUUAAUAGCAUCAAGAGGCCUUACCUCAUGACCCGAAGUUGUUCAUGUCAAUGACAACCCUUAGUUAUUCAUAGAAUCUAAAGGCUUGAGCUCAUGACCUGAAGUCAUUCAUGUCAUCCACAAGCCUGAGUUGUUAAUAAUAUCUAGAGCCUUCAGGUCACGACUCAGAUUUGUUCAUGUCAUCGACAACCCUAAGAAGUUCAUAGCAUCUAAAGACUUGAGCUCAUGACAUAGUAUCAUUCAUAUCAUCCAUAACCAUUAGUGGUUCAUAGCAUCUAGAGGCUUGAUCUCAUGGGAUCUCGAAUCAUUCAUAUCAUCUACAACUUUGAGUUGUUCAAAGCAUCUAGAGCCUUGGGCUCACGACCCGUAGUAGCUUAUGUAAUCCACAACUUAAAUCUAUUCAUAGAAUUUAGAGCCUUGAGCUCACGACCCUAAGUCAUUCAUCUCAACCACAGCCUUGAGCUUUUCAGGGCAUCUUAAGCCCUGAGGUUACAACCCAGAGUCGUUCAUGUCAUCCACAACCCUGAGUUGUUCAUAGAAUCUAGCAGGUUAAGCACACGAGAUCGCAACUCAUUCAUUUCAUCCACAACUCUGAGUUGUUCAUAGCAUCUAAAGCCAUGAGCUCAUGACUUGGAGUCGUUCAUGUGAACCAAAGGCCUGAAUAGUUCAUAGCUUCUAGAGGACUUUGCUUAUUGGAUCCCAAGUCGUUCAUAUGAUUCAUAACUCUAUAUUGUUUAUAACAUCCAGAGUCUUGAGCUCAUGACCUUGAGUAGCUCAUGUCAUCCAUAGCCCUAAGUUGUUCAUAGCAUCUAGAGCCUUGAGCUCAUGACUAGGAGUAGCUCAUCUCAUCCAUGCCUCUGAGUUGUUCAAAACAUUUAGAGCUUUGAGUUUAUGACCCAAAGUCAUCCAUGUCAUCCACAACCUUGAGUUGUCCAUAGAAUCUAGAGGCUUGAGUUCAUGAUGUACAAUCAUUCAUAUUGUCUUUAACGAUUCAUAGUAUCUAGGGCCCUAAGCUCAUGACAUCCUAAUCUGUUCAUAUCAUCCAUAACUCUUACAUGUUCAUAGCAUUUAAAGCCCUCUACUGACGACCCAAGGUUUUUUAGGUCAACCACAACCCUGUGUUAUCACAGUAUCUAGAGCCCUAAGCUCAUGACCCAAUAUCAUUAAUGUCAUCCACAGCCCUGAGUUGUUCGCACCGUCUAGAGCCUAGAGCUUAUGACUCAUAGUCGUUUAUGUCAACCAUAGUUUUGAAUUGUUCAUAGUAUCUAGAGUUUUACGCUCAUGACCCGGUGUUGUUCAUUUUAUCCACAACCCUUAUCCAAUCAUAGCAUUUAGAGGCUUGAGCUAAUGACACAAAUUGUUCAUAUCAUCUAUUGCCCUGAGUUGUUCAAAGCAUCUAGAGGCUUGAGCUCAUGGGAUCCCGAUUUGUUCAUAUUAUCCAUAACUCUAACCUGCUCAUGGCAUCUAAAUCUGUAGGCUCAUGAUCUGGAGUUGUUCAUCUCAACCAAAGCCUUGAGUGGUUCAUAUCUUAUAUAAACCUGUGCUCAUAGGAUGUUGAGUUGUUCAUAUCAUUCAUAACUCUAAGUUGUUCAUAACAUCCAAAGCCCUGAGAUCACGACUCGAAGUAGCUCAUGUCAUCCACAACCUUGAGUUGUUCAUAGCAUCAAAGCCUUAAGCUUAUGACCUGGAGUAGUUUAUCUCAUCCACACCCCUGAUUUUUUCAUAACAUCUAGAGCCUUGAGCUUAUGAACCAAAGUCGUUCAUGUCAAUCAUAACCCUGAGGUAUUCAUAGUAUCUAAAGCGCUAAGCUCAUGACCCAGAGUUGUUAAUGUCAUCCAUAACCCUAAGUGGUUGACAACAUCUAGAGGCCUGAAUUGAUGGGAUCCUAAAUCAUUCAGAACAUCGAUAACUCUGAGUUGUUCAUUGCUUCUAGAGCUUGGAGCUCUCAACCCAAAGUCUUGACUCGUUCAUAGCAUUUAGAGGCUUGAGCUCAUGAUGUAGAAUCUUUCAUAGAAUUCGCAACCUUGAGUGGUUCAUAGCAUCUGGAGGCCUAAGCUCAUGGGAUCUCGAGUCAUUCAUAUCAUCCAUAAUUCUGAGUUAUUUAUAGCAUCCAGAGCCUUGAGCUCACCACCCGAAGUAGCUCUUAUCAUCCACGGUCUUGAGGUGUUCAUAGCAUCUAAAGCCCUGAGCUAACGACCAGGAGUCUGUCCAGUCAAUCACAACACUCAAUUGUUCAUAGUAUCUAGAGCCCUAAGCUUCCGAUUCAGAGUCGUUCAUGUCAUCCACAACCCUGAUUUGUUAAUAUCAUUUAGAUCCCUGAGCUCCUGACUUACAGUCUUUCAUGACAUUAACAGAUGCAAGUUGUGCAUAACAUUUUGAGCUCUAAGCUCAUGACCCAGACUCUUUCAUGUCAUCGGCAGCCUUGAGCUGUGAAUAACCUCUAGAGGCUUGAGCUUAUGUCUGAGAGUCUUUCAUGUCAACCACAACCCUAAGUUGUUCAUAGUAUCUAGAGGUCAAAGCUCAUCACUAAGAGUCAUUCUUAUCUUCCACAGCCUUGAGUUGUUCAUAGCAUUUAGAUCCAAGAGGUCACAACCCAGAGUCGCUCAUGUCAACCAAAGGCCUGAGUUAUUUAUAACAUCUAAAGCCCUGAGCUCACAACCCUAAGUUAUCAACGACAGCCCUGAGCUAUUCAUAGCAUCUAGAGCCUUAAGCUCAUAACUCAGAGUUGUUCAUCUCAACCAGAGCAAAGACCUAUUCAUUACAUCUAGAGCCCUGAUUACUACCCAAAAAGUGUUAUUUUACACCUUUAAUUCAAUAUCUUUUAAGCACUUUUGUGUAGUAAUUCUCCAUCUUUAUUCCAAUUGGCAUGUUAAGGACCUAGCAAUGACUUCUAAUCAUAUUUGUGGCUAGUUUUAGUGUUUUGACAGCCUUUUGGAUCAUUAAGACAAGCCAAGUAAAGGAGAGAAGCAAAGAGAAGCAAAGAGGAAAAACAAGCAAAGUGAAGAGAAGCAAAGAGGACAGCAGCUUCAGUCUUCUUUCGCACUUUUAGAGCACUUUCCGAAGUCCAUUUUCUACAUGAUAUAUACCAUUUCAAAGCUCAGGAAGUUAAGAAUCCAACGCUUCAAACCGUGUAUGAUUUGGAGCUGAAAUGAGGAAGAUAUGGCCUUCGGAAGACAACUGCUCCAGGCUUGUGCGAAAUUUUCGCACAACACCUUAUGUUGUGUGAGUGUUGUGCGAAAUUCGCACAACUCCUUCAAAAUUCGCACAGCCCAUGCGUGGUGCGAAUUUUGCUCUAUUUUUGCCGACUCCACUUUAGAUAUUUUCUUAUGUAUUUUUGAUGUAAUUUCCUUUCUUAUCCUUGUAACUAACCAAUCACAAGCUUUUGCUUUUGUAAAGACUAUAUAAGGGGUGGAAAUCACCUCUUGGAAAAUAUAGAACAUGCGUGUUAUGUUUUACACUGAGUGAUAUACAGAGCUCUCUCAUUUCUCUUUUCUCUUUACUAUUUUAUUUUCUUGGAAGCCAAACAACCUCUGAGGGCUUUUCCUCAGAGGAUGAUUGGCUAAAACUUUUAGUUUCUCAAAGUAUGGAUGUUAUGUGAUGGCUUGGAUGCAAUCCCAUGGAAAUUUCUCGCACUUGGAAGGUAAGGUAGACGUGUUUCAUUAAAGGUUCAUUAAUGCAAAGUUUGGUUUUUAUUUCCUUUGGACAACUUCCAACGGCCAAUACUUGAUAAGCUUUUGGAUUUCUAUCCAUUAGUUAUCUCCUACGAGCUAUUGGAAGGUGAGGUUUUCAAUUCCAAGUUUUGUAUUAAUCCGUUAGAACCAAUUUCAAUGGCCAUUGAAAGGUGAGUUUAUCACUUGGAAUGACUUUGAGUUGCCAAUAUUUGGUAAGCUUUUGGCUUUAGACCAUUAGUUAUCUCUUACGAGCCAUUCAAAGGAAGGCUAAGGUGAAUAACCAUUGAUGACAUUCACUACCAUCUGUUUUGCCAUUUUAAAGGAUUAAAAUGUGAUUUGCUAAAUCCAUACCGGUUCGGGAAGCAAGCAUCACCAUAGUUGCAACCCCAACGCGAGGAGCCUAUCCUGAGAUUUCCAAUUUGCAUAAGAGCUAGAGCAUAGCUAUCCUAUCUUUGAGAAACUUGUUUUUACACCCUUUCAUUUUAGUCUCUAAUUUUAGCUUAGAUUAGUUUAAAUCUUUCUAAAACAUUUACAUCUUCUUUUAAAACUAACAUCCAUAAGAAAAUCACCUAUUUUCCUAAUUUGAAUAUCACUAGUGUUUGCGAAAACCCUUCCCAGUGAACGAUCCUAGAACCACUAUGCUAUAGUAACUUGGCUACUUUAGUAAUAGUAUUUAAGGUAUAAAUUUUGUUGAUACGCCUUUAAAGCUAAGCUACCAUGAGUCGAAUCAAAUGGCGCCGUUGCCGGGGAUCGAAUCAAAUGGCGCCGUUGCCGGGGAAGGUGCCACAAGCACAGUGAAGCAACAAUUAAGGGUAACUUGUGAUCUUCAUCACAAGUUUGGUGAGUUUUCUUAUAUUUUUUUUUUUUUAGUUUAGUUUUUAUUUAGUUAAAUUUUUUAUUCUCUUUUCUUUUAUUUUUGUUUUAAUUUCAAUUUGUGCAUUCCUUGUUGGAUUCAAGACCAAGAGGGAACCCUGGUACAAGUUGAAGAAAAGAGCCUUAGUUGAAUAUCAUUUUUUUUUAGAAAUGGAAAUUCCACAUGAAGAUCAAAGCUCUCAUUAUGAUCAUGAGAAGGACAAAUUUGCAUACCUAUCCAUGAGGGAUCAGAUUGAAUUGGGGAAAAGGCAAGUUCAACAAAGCCAAUGGGGUAGUAAGUAUGCUUUGAAUGGAGAUGAUUCAUAUGAGCAUACAGUAGGGGAGUGCCCUACCAUUCCAACUAUGAGAGACAUGUACGGUUCCCAAAGCUCCUACACCUCAAGUUGGAAUAACCAUCCCAACCUCAACCUCAACCAUCAAUGAGUACAUCUUCAUUGGAGCAAGCCAUUUUGAAGAUAAGCAAAGUCAUGGAGGACUUUGUAGGUGAACAACAAAAGAUCAACUCUCAUCUUAAUGAAAAGAUUGAUAAUUUGGAGAGUUCAAUAAAUGUAAGAAUGGAGGGGGUUUAUAAUGAUCUAUCACUAAGGAUAGAAAAAGUUCAAGACUCCAUUGAGAAACUCACCAAUCUCGACAUAGCAAGGGGGAAAAGGAAGCUUCCUCCUCAACCCCACCAUAACCUUCAAGGAACCAAUGCAAAAAGAUCAAGGAAAGUGUUGAAGAUCGACACUUUGGUGGGGGAUUGCUAUGACAACUCUAUGGACCAACCUUCCAUUGAAAAUCAUAAGGUUCAAGAUGAUAAAGGGUUACCUGAACCCUUUAAAGCAUCCAUUUUCUAGGGAAGAGAAGAGAAACGAAUUCCCUUGGGCCAAAUGGGAAGGAUGCCAAUUUUGUUUGGGAUCUAGGGGGAAUUCAUCAUGAAGUGCGUGUGUGAGUGAGGAUGAGCUAAAUAGUUCAUCUUCUUUUUGGGGUACAUGCUAUCAGCUUCAUUUAAAUUCUAUGCUUUCUUUAAAUUUAUGCAUGUUUUAGUUUAAAUUCUUAGCUUUAAUUUAGUUUUAAUAUGUUUUUAAGAUGAGUUUUGAAGUAUUCAUGCAGGUAUGAUGCUUGCAAAAAUCGAAGUUAUGGUGAAAACAAGGGAAAACAGGGAAGAAAAGCCAAAACAGAGCAAUUCGCACUACCCCAUUUCGGAAACUGUUGGGAACAUUUCGAUCACUUCCCCAAGUUCAUUUCAUGCGUAUUAUAUCUCGUUUCAAAUCUUGGGAAGUCAGGAGUCCAUAGGUUCAAAUGGUGUGAGAUUUGGAGUUGAAACGAAGAAGUUAUGGCCGUUUGAAGACGACUGUGCAAAGCUGAACGGGAAUGUUGCAGCCGCACCCCAUUUUGCUACUAUUGGACACGUUUUUGGAGCACUUUCUGGAGCUCAAAUUAUGCAUACCAUAUCUAUUUUUGAAUCUUAGGAAGUCAGGAGUCCAGUGCUUUAAACGGUGCGCAAUUUAGAUUUGAAACGAAGAAGUUAUGGCCAUUUGAAAGAAUCCAAUUUUGCAUUUGGGCGGGUGAAUAGUGCCUUGUGCGAAAUUUUCGCACAACACUCGCACAACAUAUUGUGUUGUGCGAAACUCGCACAACACCCUCCCUUGUGCGAAAUUUUCACACAACACAUCCCCUUGUGCGAAUUUGUAGCUUCUUCAUCCCUACCCUCCCCAAUCCAAAGCCUUUGAGCCUUGUCCUCAACUACUCAAAGUGGGGCCCACUCAUCAUUUUUGUAAAUAUUUAGUAUAAAUUCUUCUCUCAUUCAAUUUUUGAAUUUUGAAACAGGUGGUUUACCUUCUCAACUCCAAGCCCACAUCACAUGAGGUACCACUUCCUUCCUCCUUAUUUUCGAUUCAAACAUUGAGGACAAUGUUCAUCUCGGUUAGGGGGAGGGAUGAGGAAGUAAGUAUUAGUUUAAAUUUUUAUCAUACUUAGUUAAAUUAUCUACUUUUUGUUUAAAUUUUAAAAUUUUUGCUUUAAACUCCAUGGAUAUUAAGGAUUAACUCUCAAAAUUAAAUGAGAGAAGUCGAGUUUCAACUUGAUUACAUGAGUCUUAGAGUUUGUAUUAUGCUCUUCUAAAAGUUGAUGAAUUCUUGAAACUCCCAUUGCAUGCAAACUUAUCUCUUCCACCUUAAGCUAUUCGCACACACAUACAAUAGGUUCCGAUUAUAAGAUGAAAAACUAUUUCCCUCUUGACUUAGGAAAAUUUUAGACUUGGUACCUUUGACCUCAUUUAAUAGUGUUGGGACACCUUGUAAAAGGCCAAUGAGUCUUUGAAGAAAAUAAAGAAAGAAAGAAAAAUGUUUGCUUGCCUUGAAACCCGAGCAAGGUCUGAGGGGUUGGUGAAAAUCUUUAAAACCUGGUGCCCUAAGCCUUCAAUGGUUGGGAGUCACCGACCUCAAUGCUCGUUAUAAGGGUGAAUAGGUGGAGUUUAACAUAUUGUAGGUGCUUGGGUAUUAAAAAUUCAUUCUCAAAAGUCCGGGGUGAAAUCCUAGGAGUUAGUGGUUGAAAAAUCCUUAAAGCUUGAUGCCCUAAACCUUGAUUGGUUGGGAGUCAUCGAUGGACCCCCGUUACAUGGACAAUUUAGAAAAGAAUGCCUUUAAGCUUUGCACUCCUACAAGAAAAAAAUUGUGAAAGAAAAAAGGUGCGUUCUUAGCCUAUUGGAGGUUGAUUAGUUUGCUAAGCUUUGAAAAGAACUAGGUUGAGGGGAGAGAUUAGUUUGACAUACUAUAUCCGGAAACUAAUAAAUAACACAUAGAUUUUUGUGGAAGAGUAAGGAUUGGACCUUUGGGAGUGAAAAUUAUUUUGAAGCUUAAAUUUGCAUAAUGCCUACUCUUUAUGAAUUGUGACUAGGCAAAUUAUUUGAUAGCUCCUAUUGAAGUUUGAGUUUUAUUUUUUUCAUGUUCCAUGUGAGAGUUUGAUCCAAUCAUGCCACUUGAUUAUUUUUUGGAGUGAUUAGCAUGAUUUUGUAAAAUAUUAUAUUAUCUAUUUUUCAUUAUUUUUCUCUCCUUCAUUUCUCAAGGACUAGCAAUGUGUUAGUUGGGGGGAGUGAUUACUACCCAAAAAGUGCUAUUUUACACCUUUAAUUCAAUAUCUUUUAAGCACUUUUGUGUAGUAAUUCUCCAUAUUUAUUCCAAUUGGCAUGUUAAGGACCUAGCAAUGACUUCUAAUCAUAUUUGUGGCUAUUUUUAGUGUUUUUACAGCCUUUUGGAUCAUUAAGACAAGCCAAGUAAAGGAGAGAAGCAAAGAGAAGCAAAGAGGAAAAGCAAGCAAAGUGAAGAGAAGCAAAGAGGACAGCAGCUGCAGUCUUCUUUCGCACUUUUGGAGCACUUCCAGAAAUCCAUUUUCUACAUGCUAUAUACCAUUUCAAAGCUCAGGAAGUCAAGAAUCCAACGCUUCAAACCGUGUAUGAUUUGGAGCUGAAAUGAGGAAGAUAUGGCCUUCGGAAGACAACUGCUCCAGGCUUGUGCGAAAUUUUCGCACAACACCUUGUGUUGUGCGAGUGUUGUGCGAAAUUCGCACAACACUUUCAAAAUUCGCACAGCCCAUGCGUGGUGUGAAUUUUGCUCUGUUUUUGCCGACUCCACUUUAGAUAUUUUCUUAUGUAUUUUUUUUUAUGUAAUUUCCUUUCUUAUCCUUGUAACUAACCAAUCACAAGCUUUUGCUUUUGUAAAGACUAUAUAAGGGGUGGAAAUCACCUCUUGGAAGAUAGAAUAGAUAUUACGUUUUACACUUAUAAAAUAUACAGAGCUCUCUCGUUUUCCUUUUCUCUUUGCUAUUUUAUUUUUCUUGGAAGCCAAACAACCUCUGAGGAUGUUUUCCCGAAGGAUGAUUGGCUAAAACUUUUAGUUUCUCAAAGUAUGGAUGUUAUGUGAUGACUUGGAUGCAAUCCCAUGGAAAAUUCUUACACCUGGAAGGUAAGGUAGAUGUUUUUCAUUAAAGGUUCAUUAAUGCAAAGUUUGGUUUUUAUUUCCUUUAGACAACUUCCAACGGCCAAUACUUGAUAAGCUUUUGGAUUUCUAUCCAUUAGUUAUCUCCUACGAGCUAUUGGAAGGUGAGGUUUUCAAUUCCAAGUUUUGUAUUAAUCCGUUAGAACCAAUUUCAAAUGCCAUUGAAAGGUGAGUUUAUUACUUGGAAUGACUUUGAGUUGCCAAUAUUUGGUAAGCUUUUGGUUUUAGACCAUUAGUUAUCUCUUACGAGCCAUUCAAACGAAGUCUAAGGUGAAUAACCAUUGAUGAAAUUCACUACCAUCUGUUUUGCCAUUUUAAAGGAUUAAAACGUGAUUUGCUAAAUCCAUACCGGUUCGGGAAGCAAGCAUCACCAUAGUUGCAACCCCAACGCGAGGAGCCUAUCCUGAGAUUUCCAAUUUGCAUAAGAGCCAGAGCAUAGCUAUCCUAUCUUUGAGAAACUUGUUUUUACACCCUUUCAUUUUAGUCUUUAAUGUUAGCUUAGAUUAGUUUAAAUCUUUCUAAAACAUUUACAUCUUCUUUUAAAGCUAACAUCCAUAAGAAAAUCACCUAUUUUCCUAAUUUGAAUAUCACUAGUGUUUGCGAAAACCCUUCCCAGUGAACGAUCCUAGAACCACUAUGCUAUAGUAGCUUGGCUACUUUAGUAAUAGUAUUUAAGGUAUAAAUUUUGUUGAUACGCUUUUAAAGCUAAGCUACCAUGAGUCGAAUCAAGCCCUAAGCUCAUGACUAAGAGUUUUUCAUGUCAUCCAUAACCCUAUGUUAUUCAUAGCACUUAAAGGUUUGAGCUAAUGAUGUAGAAUCAUUCCUAUCAUCCAUAGCCCUAAUCAGUUCAUAGUAUGUAGAGGCUUGAGCUGACAGGAUCCAAAGUCAUUCAUAUCAUCCACAACACUAAGCUAUUCAUAGCAUCUAAAGCCUUUAGCUCACAACUCAAAUUUGUUCAUGUCAACCAAAGCCCUGAGGAAUUUAUAACAUCUAUAGGCUCGAGCUCACGGGAUUACGGAUCAUUCCUAUCAUUAACAACUCUAGGUUAUUCAUAGCAACCAUAACCUUUAACUCAUGAUCCAGAGUAGCUCAUGUCAUCCACUAUCCUGAGUGGUUCAUAGCAUCCAAAGCCCUAAGCUCACGACCUAGAGUAGCCCAUCUCAUCUAGAACCCUAAGUAGUUCAUAGCAUCAAAAUCCUUGAGCUCAUGACUUACAGUCAUUUAUGUCAACCACAACCUUAAGUUGUACAUAGUCUUUUGAGCCUAGUACGACCAAGAGUCAUUCAUAUAAUUCAUAGCCUUAAUAUGUUCAAAGCAUCUGAAGACUUGAGCUCAUGAUGAAGAAUCAUUCAUAUCAUCCACAACCUUUAACGGUUCAUAGCUGAUUCGCAUGUGUAACUCCAAAUGGGUCAUUUAAUCAAAAACAUUUAUAAAACCUAUGACCCCAUACUAAUGUAGUAAAGCUACUAUAGUAUAGUGGCUCUAGGGUCGAACUCUGGGAUGGGUUUUCAUUCUAUCAGUGAUGUAUUCAAAAUUAGAAAUUGUAUUUAAUGAUUUCCUUAAUCAAAAACUUAAAGUUUAAAAGAAAAUAAAAUUUUUUUUGAAAGUGUUUGAAACUAAACUAACAUAAACUAAUUAAAAAUGGAAGAAAGAAAGUCUCUCGGAGCUAAGGGUUGCUAGGAUCAAGUUCAGAAUAGAAAGUGGAAAGUUCCGGAUUUUUCUCCUCGCAUUGGGGAUUUAACCUAUAGUUAUUUCCCGAACCGGUAUGGGUUUAACAAUGAAGAUUUAAUGCAUAAUAGGUCAAUAGAAAUGGUAGUCAAGGUCCAUUAAUGGCUUAAGACACUAUGGGUCUCAACCUUGAAUCACUUUCCAAUGACUCGUACAUGAUAACUAAUGGACUAAUAUGAAUCUAGCAAUAAGCAUCCAUAAAGACCUGAAGCUUACCAUGUAUUGGUUAUUCAAAGUGAUUCUAAGGGGUUUAAAGCAAAACUUUGGAUUUAGAAGCCAUUUAUGAAUUCCAACUACCUGAAUUUAAUGCACGGGAGCUUUCCACCUUUUCAUCUGGACUUUUCACCUGGCUUCCUUUACUCCAAGAAACCGAAAGUUUAGCCUCUCAUCCUCUGAGAAAACAUCCUCAGAGGUUGUUUGGCUUCCAAGAAAAAGAAAAUAGUAAAGAGAAAAUGGAAAACGAGAGAGCUCUGUAAAAAAUAUUCUAAGUGUCAAACGUAAUACGUAUAUUUCAUCAGAGGUAAUUUCCACCCCUUAUAUAGUCUUUACAAAAGCAAAAGCUUGUGAUUGGUUAGUUACAAGGAUAGGAAAGGAAAUUACAUCAAAAAUUACAUAGGAAAAUAUCUAAAGUGGAGUCGGAAAAAACAGAGCACGCAUGGGGUGUGCGAAAUUUUCGCACACCUGAAGGAGGUGUGCGAACUUCGCACACCAUUCGCACAGCUAAAGGGGGGUGUGCGAAAUUCUCGCACACCUGGAGCAGUUGUCUUCCGAAGGCCAUAUCUUCCUCGUUUCAGCUCCAAAUCAUGCACGGUUUGAAGCGUUGGAUUCUUGACUUCAAAAGCUUUAAAAUGGUAUAUAGCAUGUAAAAAUUGGACUUCGUAAAGUGCUCCAAAAGUGUGAAAGAAGACUGCAGCUGCUACAUUUUGAUUUUUCUUCACUUUGCUUCUCUUUGGUUUUCUCCUUUGCUUGACUUGUUUUAACGAUCCAAAAAGCUGUCAAAACAUUAAAACUAGCCACAAAUAUGAUUAAAAGACAUUGCUAGGUCCUUAACAUGCCAAUUUGACUAAAGAUGGAGAACUACUACACAAAAGUGCUUAAAACAUAAUGCAUUAAAGGUGUAAAAUAGCAC